rnacentral:lncRNA from 1 species
AAAUUUUUCGUUCCUAAAAAACUUUGAAUUAAAAAAAUUAUGGAUAUAAAUUAUUAAAUUAUGGAUAUAAAUAAUCUAAAUAACCAAUCUCUAAUAUAUAUAUCGAUAUAUUUUUACAGGCUUGUGUGAACUGAAGAAUCUUGAACAGCUAUAUCUCUCAGGAAACAAUCUAAUGGGCGUACUCCCUCCUUGUUUUGGAAAUCUAUCAUUUCUACAAGUCUUGGAUGUAUCCUACAACCAAUUGGAGGGGAAUAUUGCCUCUGGUCACCUUUCCCAUCUUACGCAGCUCAAAUCCCUCGAAGUUUCAAAUAACAACUUUCAAGUCCCAAUAUCAUUUGGUUCAUUUAUGAACCUCUCCAACCUCAAGUUCAUUGCAUGCGAUAACAAUGAGCUAAUAGCUGCACCCAGUUUUCAGCCUUCAGCUCCCAAGUUCCAGCUUCUUUACUUUAGUGCUUCAAACUGUACUUCAAAACCACUCGAGGCUGGAUUUCCAAACUUCCUCCAGAGCCAACAUGAUUUGGUGUUUGUUGAUCUAUCCCACAACAAAUUCGUUGGACAACCUUUCCCAUCUUGGUUGUUUGAGAAUAAUACAAAGUUAAAUCAACUAUAUUUGAGAGACACCUCAUUUAGAGGUCCUUUGCAGCUGCCACAACACCCAACACCCAACCUUCAGACAGUAGAUAUGUCUGGCAACAACAUACAUGGUCAAGUUGCAAGAAACAUAUGUUCGAUUUUUCCACGUUUGAAGAACUUCAUGAUGGCUAACAACAGCCUCACAGGUUGUAUUCCUCCUUGUUUUGGGAAUAUGAGCUCUCUCGAAUACUUGGAUCUUUCCAACAAUCACAUGUCUUGUGAACUGCUUGAGCAUAAUUUUCCAACAGUAGGCUCCUCGUUGUGGUUUUUGAAGCUGUCCAACAACAGCUUCAAUGGGCGAUUACCACCAUCUUUGUUCAACAUGACUUACCUACUACCUCCUUCUAGAUGGAAACAAAUUUGUAGGAGAAGUACCAGGUACUUUUUCUCUUGAAUCAUCACUUUUGUGGUUGGAUAUCAGUAACAAUCUUUUGUCAGGCAUGCUUCCAAGGGGAAUAGGGAACUCUUCAAAAAACCAACUUGAUGGAAUUGAUUUGUCCAGAAAUCAUUUUGAAGGUACCAUUCCAAUAGAAUAUUUCAAUUCUUCUGGGCUUGAAUUUUUAGAUCUUUCUGAAAACAAUCUGUCUGGGUCAUUACCGUUGGGCUUCCAUGCAUUAGAUUUAUGCUAUGUCCACCUAUACGGAAAUAGAUUGAGCGGUCCACUGCCAUAUGAUUUUUAUAAUCUCUCUUCGUUGGUGACAUUAGAUCUCGGCGAUAACAACUUAACUGGGCCCAUUCCAAAUUGGAUUGAUAGCCUUUCGGAAUUGAGCAUUUUUGUUCUCAAAUCUAAUCAAUUCAAUGGGAAACUUCCUCAUCAGUUAUGCUUGUUAAGGAAAUUAAGCAUAUUGGAUCUUUCAGAAAAUAAUUUUUCUGGUCUGUUACCCUCAUGUUUGAGCAAUUUAAAUUUUACGGCAUCAGAUGAAAAAACUUUGGAUCCUCGUACGGGAUAGGAUUCUGAAAGCGGAUUUUUAAAAUUUGCAUCCAUAGGGGGAAGAGGAUUUUCUCUUCAUCACAAUAUUUUGUGGGCAGCGAUCAGUGUAAAAAUAUCUAUAGAGCUUACAGCAAAGAAACGUUUCUACACUUACGAAGGCGAUAUCCUUCGUUACAUGUCUGUUAUGGAUCUUUCUUGUAACAGAUUCACUGGAGAAAUCCCGACAAAAUGGGGAAACUUAAGUGGGAUAUAUUCUCUAAAUCUGUCACAAAAUAAUCUCACUGGAUUGAUCCCUUCAUCUUCUCAAUCUGAAGCAGAUAGAGAGCUUGGAUCUUUCUCACAACAAAACUUGAAUGGGAGAAUUCCUGCACAACUCGUUGAACUGACCUUUCUAGAAGUUUUCAACGUGUCGUACAAUAAUUUGUCAGGAAGAACACCGGAGAUGAAAAAUCAAUUUGUACCUUUGAUGAGAGCAGUUAUAAAGGGAAUCCUCUUCUUUGUGGACCUCCAUUGCAAAACAGUUGCGACAAAACAGAAUCACCAUCAGCGAGAGUGCCUAACGAUUUCAAUGGAGAUGAUGGCUUCAUAGACAUGGACAGUUUCUAUGCCAGCUUUGGUGUGUUUACAUAACUGUGGUGUUGACAAUUGCAGCAGUACUGUGCAUAAAUCCGCAUUGGCGACGCAGGUGGUUUUACUUCAUUGAAGAAUGCAUUGACACUUGCUACUGCUUUUGGCUAUAAACUUUCGCAAGUUGUCCAGAUUCAGAAGGUGAUUGGUCUUAUCAUGAGCGUGUGGGCUGCUUUCUGAAUUUUUUGUAAUCCUCUGUGGAGAAGAAGUUGCAUUCCAAAUCAAUGGUUGCUCACUACAUGUUUAGCAAUUUUCCUGUGAGAAGUGUUCUGUCGAAGUGUUUGGUUCUUGUUGCUUAGCCUUUAUGUUUUGACAUGACUUGUGUUUGUCCUUGUGCUUGUAUCCAUAUUUGUUUGUUUCGUUGUUAUGUCUUUAUUAUGUUGCGUUUUGGUCUUAGAUAAGCAACCAACCAAUAUUUCUUGGUUUCUUGUGAUUUCUAUAUCCCUAAUAAUAUGGAAUUUAUUCACAAUUGUAAUAGUUUACAGUAUCAUAUUUUCUCAAUUAAAAAAAUAAUUGAUAGAACUAAAGGAUCAUACCAGCAAGGUGGAAUGUGGUAAAGCAAUAAUUUUGUUUGCUGAAAGAACAUAAGUCUAAACUUAAAACAAGGAAAUAUUUAUUGAAUAAUCAGUAUUUAUCUAUUUUGGCAAUUUUCUCAGCCCUAGCUAUUUAAGCCUUACUUGUGGGCUAUUUUGAACAUCAAGAGUUUAUUUCAGAUUUUUCUCUCCUGUUGGGUCUCUUUCAAGCCCGUUUUGCACUUAAUUUUGAAUUCUUUUAAUUAAAUCGGUUUUAAACUCUUAUAUCAACAAUUGGAGGAUUGUUUUAAGAUUAGAUUAUUUAAUUGUAAUUUUUCUGAAAAAUACAAGAGUUUUUUUUCUUUAUUCGUCUAUAAUGUCAAGGCUAUAAGAGAACCCUAAUUCAUUCAUGCCUCAUGAAAUUCAAUUUGGCCAGUGGUGGUAUAAGGAAACAAAAAGGUUGUUAGAAAAAUUAAGAAUUUUGAAUGUUUCAUUUUAAAAUGGUGACUACUUUUUAAUUUCAGAAUUCCAGAUUGUUAAAUCUUCUAUUACUUGUUUGCCUCUUAUGAUUUCUACUGUUGUGAUAGUCAAGCUUGAUGAUAUAAAUUACCUAUUCCAGUCUUAUACUUGGCUCCUCCAAGCAUGCAAUUGAAGGAGAAUAUAAAGAUAUCAAAGGCUCUAGUCCUGCCACAUAUCAAAAGAUUAGAGAAUAAAAUAGUUAGAAUGUUGUUAGUAACUGUUAGCCUUAUUUGUUAGUUAAGAGAAUCAGUUAGUAUUAUUUAGUGAAGAAUAGAUAACGUGAAAGGAAAACAGACAAGAAAAACAAAAAGGAACAGCAAAGAAAAGAAAAGGAAAAACAGCAAACGAAAAAAACAAAGAAGGAGAGAAGAAAAGUAGUCUUUCUCUCUCUAUUUAUCUUUCUAUUAGUUGCAUCACCAUCGCCAUUCUUCCUCCUCACCGCCACCAACAUCACCAUAAGCCAUCGUAGGUCCGCUUCCCCCUCUCUUUCUUCUUCUUCUCCCCCACCCCGAUCUUCAUUGUUCUACUAAUGAAUAGUGAAGGGUGAAUUAUAAUUCACGCUCCACGUGGAGAGCCAUUAUUUCUAGGUCGGACCAAUACCUGCCUAGACCAAAACAUUAGGGUCGGGUCCAACUUAAUUCCCCUUAGUAUAGAGUACAUUGGGCUGAAAUUGGCCCCACUCCUAAUUCGGGCCGAUAUUGGCCCAACUCUACUAGGCUAAUCUCAGCCCAAUCGCUUUUUAGGUCAACUUUGUGCUAAUUCCUUUUAAAUCAAACUCGGCCUAACUAGGGUGGGCUCAGCCCACAUAACUGGGCUAAGCCCAUCCUAAUAUAUUUUAAUAUAUAAUUAUAAUUAUAAUUAUAUAUAAAAAACAACAAAAAAAAUCCAAAAAUCCUUUUAAAAAAAUUUGUGAUUUUCUCAUGUAUUUUUCUACCAUUUUGUAUUAAUAUAGGUUUAUAUUUUUAUACUAUAAAGAUACAAAUCCAAUAUUAAAAUAUCUAGUUUUCUCUGAAAUAUUGCAAAAAUAUAUAUAUAGAGAAAAAAAAAUAUCUUGUUUUCAUGCAUACAGUUAAGUCUCUUAAGCUUAUAAGAAAUUUUCAUAUCAUAUUUUCAUACAACAAAAAAUUCAAAAAAUAUGUAUUAACAUGCACUUUGAAUUUUAAAAAUCAGUUUAUUAAAGUCAUGAGAACUAGACCAAUAUUUUAAAAAUACCAAAAAACAUUAUUUUGUUUUCUUUUAAUAUUUGAGAUUUUAAACAUAUACGUAAGACAUAUUCUUAAAAUUAAAUAAAAAGUAGUUUUUUUUUUUUUUUUACGUUAGAAUAGUUAGGUUUUAUCUGAUAAGAUAAUGAUCUCCUUAUUGAAAAGGAUUUUUCUUAAACCUUUGACAGACCAACAAUUAGAAAGCACAACAACACCUUAGUAUACAUUAAACAAUAAGCAAUGCAGCUUACCUUAGAUAGAGUGUAUUAGGGGUGAUAAUAUCUUUAUUUUAAGCAACCAGUCCUCGUGUUCGAUCUCUGAAACCAGUUAUUGUUAAUAGUGACAAAAAUACCAAAUGGUGAUUUUCAUUCCCUCUCUCCACUAAUAAAAGAUAAAAAAUCAUUUUCUACCCCAUUUCCCGAUACCACCCAAGAGCACAAUCACGGGCGACACUUUGGAUAGGUUGAUUAACUUGUUGCUUAUUUAUCACGCUAUGUCAUGUAGCUUUUAGUUAUUAUUUUGAAUUCUAAAAUAUAAAGACAGACUUUUUGUAGACAUGGUUUUAGAGUUGAAUUUUCCAGCGUUGACUUUUUAUUUUACGUCUCUCUCUCUCUCUCUCUCUCUCUCUCUCUCUCAUACUUGUCACUUAUGUCCUAAAUUGUUAACCAAACACAAUCUACUAUCAAAUUUAAUAGUUUUACUGAUUAAUUUUUUUUUCAGUAUUUACACUUAUAAUUUGUCGGUGUGUAUAUUACCAAUGGGCUAAUGGAUGGAAACAAUCUGUCAGAAAAAAUCUCAUUUGUAAUUUAUUGUUUGUCAAUAAUAAAUAUAUUGAUGAAUUUACAGACGACAAAAACACGUAAAAAAAAUUAUUCACUACAUUCUGUUGAUAUCUUUAUCGGUAAAUUUAACAUAUCAUCGACAGGAAAAUCGUAUGUAAUGUCAUCAGUGUUUAUAUUUAUCCAUCGAUAAAUAUAACAUAUCACCAACAGAAUACCAUCUGUAAUUCUAUCAGUGAGUUAACCGUCGAAGUGAUAUUUGCAGUAAUUAUUUUCCAACUCUCUCUAAAUAUACAGACGGAGUUGUUCCUUCAGUAACCCCGUCAGUGGUAUUUAAUAUAUAUAUAUAUAUAUAUAUAACUAGAAAAAUAUUUAAAAUAAUAUAAAAAUCAAAUAUGUAUUACAAAUUUAAAUAUUUGUACGUUCAAAUACAAUAAAUCUAAAAUAGAGGCAGUAUUGGAGGAGAAGGAGGCUAGUUGUUGUCGGGAUCGUGAGGCAAAUUAGAAGGUGUGCAUGUACCACCUAUCUGUGAUAUCAUCUUCAUUACCAAUAAAAGAAGUUCUUUAUAAUUAGCAAUGAGUCAUUCAUAUUUUUUUAUUAAGAUGAGUUAUUUGAGCAUAUAUUCGUUGGUAUAACAUCACAACGAGCUUGAGAGUUUGAGUGGUCAGAAUUGAAUGUGAGCAUCCAACGAUCAAAACAUUAUGGGUCGUCUACAAGUUAUUAGUCGUAAUGUUAAAAAGUUCAUACACCUAAUUUAUAUCGGAUCCACCAAACAAUCCUGCUUAUAACCACAAAUCCAGAUCAAGAUUUGGAUGGGUCGAAGGAUCAUCCUUGUAUCUCUUCUUCAACUAACUGUUAUACGUAUUCUGGAAAGAAAAAAAAAAUUCAUCAAAUUCAAGGAAAUAUUAAAAAUAAGUUUGAGUUAAACCAAUAUUUUGUUGUUUAUUUAGUUUACAUAAUUAAUUAAUACAUGUUGUCAUCAAUAUUCUAUAUAGGUUUGACAUAAGUAAUGGAUGAUUAUUUAUGGAUGUAUCAAGAUUCACCGAAACGGUUGCGUAGGAUGGAUUGUUGUAAUAAAGUUCAGGGUUUUAUUAAUUAUGCACUAUUUAAUUCGAGAAAUAUUAAUGAAAGCAAUAUUAGAUGUCCAUGUAUGAGAUGUAAAAAUGAAAAGUUUCUUGAUUCAGAUAUUGUAACGAUGCAUCUUCUACAAAAAAGGUUCGUGAAGAGAUAUUUGUGUUGGUUUGCAUACAAAGAACCAUAUGUUCCUCAUGAGACCAUUAUAGAAAGAAUGAUUGGGUCAACUUAUAGUUCUAGCAACGUGCAUGAAAUUAUAUAUAACAAUAGUAAUCCUUAUAGGACUUUGGUUAAAGAUACGAUGAAAAUAAAUCAGGGUUAUGCUAGUAAAUGUUCAAUCAUAAAUGAAGAACAUAACACAAACACGACCAGUUUUUUUUUUUUUUAUCUUUUGAAAGACUUUGACGAUACUUUGGGAUUUAAAGAAAUUGACAAACUCAUCAGCCUAGGAUACCAUAAAAUUGACAUGUGUCCAAACUUUUACAUAUUGUAUUACCUUGAAAAUGUAGAGUUGAUCAAGUGCAAAACAUGUGGGCAUGCUCAUUAUAAAUCUAGAACUGGUAGGGAAGGACUUUUAUCGCACAUAGAAAACUUAGAUACUUCUUAAUCACACCUAGACUACAAGGGUUAUUCAUGUCACCAAAAAUUAUUGAGCACAUGACAUGGUAUCAUUCACAUGAUGCAGUGGAUGAAGUAAUAGUGCAUCAUUCUGAUGGUGAAGCCUGAAAACAUUUUAAUAUGGUGCAUCUUUAGUUUUCAAUGGAAUAAAUGAACGUGCUUCUUGGGUUAUGUACAAAUGGAUUCAAUCCAUUCAAAUCAUUUGCUACUUCUUCUUUUUUUAAUCAAAUGUAAGAAUAUAUUGAGAUCAAAGGAACAAAGCCACAAAAAUAGGAAAACACAAAAUAUAUAUACAGUGAUGAGGGUAACCAAUACCCUGAACUAAAAUGGGAACAUGCUCCCAUUGAAAAGAACAUAAAAUAAACAACUCCAAGGCUAGAAGUAGCCACACAGAAGACAAAAAAAAAGAGUGGUAAAAUUGAGCAUAACCAGCCAAUCCGAUGUACUGCCAGCCAAGCCAACUUACUGCCACCCAAGCCAAGACAAGCUGCCGAAAGCCAAUAGAACAUCCAGCUGCUCCUUUUCCAUGCAGGACCAAGGCGGCAACAUAUACCCCACAACCAAAACAGCAUCACAGCAGCCCUUAUUCCAUCCAUGAGCCUUAUCAUGCAGGGACGUGAAAAGCCAUGGCCAAUAGCAGCCUCCUAGAAAAACAGCCAAGACAACUUUAAAAAUCCAUACAUUAAAUAAUCAAUGCAGGUCGAGGAUCCAAGCAAUCAUUUGCUACUUCUUAUUUUUAUUGGUUGGUGAUACUCCUGGUUUACAAUUUUCCAUUGGGGAUGUGUAUGAGGUCGGAGUUCAUAUUUUUAUCUAUAUCAUAUUUGAUCCUAAUAAUCUGUGUCGGAAUAUAGAUGUUUGUCUUCGUCCACUUAUUAAUGAGUUGAACUAGUUGUGGUCGUUCAGGGCUUUGAUAUAUAAUGUAUUGAGAAAACAAAAUUUUUAGACAAAGGCACUUUCUUGUGGAGAAUCAAUGAUUUUUCUAUGUAUGGAAUGGUUUCUGGUUAAAACACAUGAAAAACUACAUGUCCAUAUUGUAUGGAAAAUAAUAAGGACCUUCAUGUUAACAAAUAGUGGUGAUUUUGAUGUUUUUAAGCUAAGAAAAAAUGUCUAAAAAUUGUUUAGGUUACUGAAGAAAUUGAUCAAACUUUCUUUAUGGGCUGACAAAAAAUAAUUCUUUAUAGGUCAAAGAUUUAUUUUAUAAUAAACUCAAUUCCAAAUCUAUAAUAGGUUAGCGAGUUUGGAGCCUAUGCCCAAGUAAAGUUAAGCACGCGUGUGGGAUAGAGGAUUUUGGGUUUCGUAAAAACAUUUAAACUAAGAGGUUUUUUAAAUUAAUUUUUUAUUUAUUCACAAUUUAAUUACUUUAAUCAUAUUAAUGUUUCAUGUUAAUAAACAUUUAAUAAUUUCCAACAAAGUUUUUACUCCAAAAGUGAAUGAAUUUCAUUUUAAAUUUAGCCCCAAAUGUAUCAAUUGAACAUGUUUUAUUAAAACAAUUCCUACACUAUCAUCCUUAAACUACUAGUUAUGAUGAAAACAUUGGAUUAUCAUUACAUAGCCGUGUGCUUACCACUACUAAAACAUGUGCUGAUUAUGAUUAUAUCUCAACACAAUACUUUUAUCAUAAAAAAAAAAAAACAGAGAAGAAUAUUGUGUCAUUUCUGUUGUAACCCAUUUUUGGGUCCCCAUGAAAAAUAAAAUAAAUAGCCAAAAGAGUUUAGAAAAAAUAGCAGGAGGCAGAAACGCUCAGAAAACAGUCAGAAAAUUGGUCAAGGAAUUUAAAAAUACAAGGAUUGAAUUUUUAACAAUAUAUUCUUGAAGGAUGAAAGCCCUAUUGAGAAGGAAAAUUUGAAUUUUGAGGAGAAAAGCCCAAAUUUGGAUGUUUAUGGAUUUAAUUGGAUUUUGUUUUUGAAUUUAUAGAAGAUUUGAUUACAAGAAAAAUUGAUUUUUAAGUCAAUUUGGGCUUUAAUUAGAAGAAAUUUAAGUUCUGGGGCCAAAAUAUAUUUUUUAGGAAUUUAUUGGGUCAAAUCAGGGGCUUAAUUGCAUAAAUAUUGAAGUUUAAUGGCCAAUUAGGGGCUUAAUUGUGAAAAUCCGAAACCAGGGACCAAUUUGGAGAAGGCGCAAAGAUAGAGGGGGCUGUUUGGAUUUGAUUCAGGGGCUUAAUUGAAGAAAUUGGAAGUUUAUUGGUCAAUUAGGGGUUUAAUUGUAAAAUUAGAGGCCAAGGACAAAGUGGAAAAACGCGGCCAACUAUGGGGUAGGGACCGAAUUGGCAGGGACGAAUUGAGUUAAACAAAGAUGAUUAAGGACUGAUUCAAAAAAUGUUCUGGCGCCUUUUCUUUUAAAAUGAAACGGCGCGUUUUAUCCAAAACGACGCCGUUUCAUGCAUAAUAAAAAAAAAAAAAAAAAGAGACCGAACGGUGCCGUUUUGAACGGCACUGUUCACUUUCUUCUUCCCCCGAACAUUACAGCGGGGAAGAAGGAAAAGUUUGUAUUUUUUUUUAUGUUUUGCAGGUCCCUCUUGCCACCAACCGACCGAGGCCCCACGCCGGUGGCCCACCGACAGAAGACGCUGGCCGACCACCCGCCGCGCUGCCGAAGCCGAGGGAGGCCCGCCUGGAUAGCCGCUCCCCGACAGCCGCUCCUCGACCCGCUCCUUGGCUCCACGGUGAAGCCACGCCUGUUAGUUCUAUAAAUAGAGAACCGAAGGAACCCGAGAGGACGACGAAAAAAAAAACAGAAGAGGAACCCGAAGAGAACAAGAAAAAACGAAGAGAGAGAGAAGGAGAGAGAAACCACAGAACUUAAGAAACAGCCACCGAAAACCUAAAACUGAGAAGCUUGGGAAAAUUUGAAGCCGAUAGGAAUCUCAGGAAACCGAAGCAGAAGCAACAAACCGGGUGAGCGACGACGAACCGUGGGAAAAAGCUGUAGCGCCGCCUGACUCGCCGUCCGUAAGCCACGACGCUGCCACCGCCUCCACCGCAGCACCGCCAGCAAGCCACCGUCUCCACCGCACCAGGUACGCUUCCUUUCCCCCCUUGCAUUUUUUUUUUAAAAAACCUGCAUCAGUUUUGCCUCCUGCAUGCAGAAUCAUGCUGCAUGCAGGAGGCGGGGGGGAAAAUAAUCCCCCCCCGUUUUGUUUUAUUUUUUAGUUCUCUGGGCCAGAUGGUGUCUGGCCCAGAACUAUGUGGGACGGGCCAGAGGGACCUGGCCCGAUCCGGCGGUCUGGGCCGGACAAGGUUAUUUAGUUUUUGGGCUGAGAUCGGCCCAGUACCGGUUGGGCUGAGAUCGGCCCAGUACCUGUUGGGCCAAGUUCGGCCCAACGCCUUUUAGGGUUGGGUCCGGCCCAGUUUAGUUGGGUCGGCCCAGCCCACUUAAUAUAUAUUUAUUAUAUUAUUAUAUUUUAUUAUUAUAUUAUAUUAUGCAUGUAUAUAUAUAAAAAAAAAAAAUCCGAAAAGUUUUUUUUUAAAAUAUAUUGUUGUUUCCUUUUCAUAUAUAUAUUUUUUAUAUACAUUGGUUUGUAUUUUUAUAUUGUGGAGACACAAACUCAGUGUUUAAAAUACCCGGUUUUCGUCAAAACAUCCAGAGUUUCAAAGAUAAAAAUGUCCGUUUGCUUUCAAAAAUUCUAAAAAAUAUCCUUAAGAAUAUUGUGGAUUUUCCUGCACAUUUUUUUUAUGAUUUUUAUAUUGGUUUGUAUUUUUAUACCGUGGAGAUACAAAUUCAGUUUUUUUAAAUACCCGUUUUCGUCGAAAAAAAUAUAUUUACAAAAAAAAAUGUUUUCUUGCGUGUUGCAUACGGCCAAUACUCUAACAUGUUUUGAUUUCUUUUUUUUUAAAAAAAAAAAUAUUUUGGAAGCUUCGAAAGUGUGUUUUCGCAUAGAUUUCUUAAACACAAAUUAUUUUCUUGCAUUUUUGGAUUUUACAACAUGUUUGUAAAACUCCAAAGGGUAUUGGCCAAUAUUCCAAAAAAACUAUAAAAAUCUUUUUGGGGGAAGAAAAUUUAUUUAUUAUUCACCGCUAAUGUUUGGAUAAAGAAAUCCUUAAAAGGAUGAAUAUCCAAAAUAUUAUUGGGAGUAAUAAAUCCGUACACAUUCUUGAAAGAAGCCUUGAUUAUAAUCGAGGACAUUUCAAAAUUUUAAUUUUUUUUUCCCACGAUUUAUGAGUCCCAAACUCUUGAAAUACUAAAGGGAAAAAUGAGCUUUCAAAGCACAUGGAAUCUCCUUAGAUUUCUAUCCAAAAUCAAUUGACGAGCCUAGAAAAUACCAACACCAUAGCAAUUAUAGAGCAAACGAAACACCAAGCAGCUUACCUUAGGUAGGGCGUACUAGGGGUGCUAAUACCUUCCCUUUACGCAACCAGUCCCUUGCCUUAGAAUCUCUGAAAGACCAGUUAGGGUUCCUAGUGACCAAAAUACUAGGUGGCGACUCCAAAGAACCAAAUCCGCUAAACAGAACAAAAUGAAAGUCGCCAGUCGAAUGUCGCAAAAAACAAAUUUUUUUUUUAUUUUUAGGAUUUUUUGGGGUGCGACAAUUUCUAUCAUCCAACUUGUGAAUAUGAUGAUAGCGUAUAGUAAAAUACUUCUAUUGGCCUGGAAGUUUCCCGGAUCUCUCUGGCAGAUGAACGUGGAUGAGGUUUUUUUUUUUUUUUUUUUUUGUGAUGCAAAUCAUGAGAUCAACAGCUUCUUCUUUUUUGUUUUUUUUUUUUUUCUAGCCAUCUGAAAAACUGUAGUAAUUUUGUUAAAUAUGAGGUGUGAUAGAAAAUUUAACAAGCCCUAACUUUCAGGGAGAGAAAUCUGCUCAUCAGUUUAGCUCACAGACUCGUAACUGGUGAUGACUUGACCGGCUAAGCAAGGUUUUUUUUAAUAAAAAAAAACAUAAUAAAAUUUAUAUUUCAUUUACAAUAAGACUCCUUCAACCGCAAAAGCACAUAUGAAAAUAUGAAUUUUAAUAAAAUAGCAGCGUUUGUUGCUGCGUUUGCACCUGUGUUUUGCUCAAAUUUGAUUUAUUUUUUUUUGUAAAAUUGAGUUUGAUUUGUAUUUUUUGGAUCGUUUUGAUGUGCUAAUAUCAAAAAUGAUUUUUAAAAAAUAAAAAAAUAUUAUUGGCAUGUAUUUCAGCACAAAAAACUAUUUAAAAAACAACUGCUACUACACUAUCAAACACGCUCAGUCUUAUGUCUAGAUUUGUCUGUAGAUUUUGCGAAAAACAGAGGAAAACAGGGCAUUUCUAGUUCUGAUCAUGACUUUUAUCUAACAAAACCAUGAUUGAAUUGUUAGAUAGAGCGCAGAUUAACAUAGAUCGAGGCAAACCAAUGGAUUCAACAGCCCGAUGACGAGUGCCAUGCAUGAUCAAUUAAGACCACAGUUGCAUCAUCAUGGCACCUACCUGCUGGAGAUUUAGCCAACAAACAGGGGUUAGUGGGCAUGGGAGUAGAUGGACGUUGACAAGGACAUAAAUACUCUGUCAAAUAUGCGAGCUUCCACGUUGAGGUGGUUGGGGUCUUUCUUGAGACAUGAUUGCUGGGGUCGAGAACUGUAGAACAAUUUCCCUUUAUAAAAUAUAGUUAUCAGAACUGGCUCGAGUUCUGAUCAUAAUAAAAAGCUAAGAUGAACUGAGUCAAUUCUAAAAUUACAUUAAAAAAAAUCUCAAGAAGUUCAUAGAUACUGGGAUUAGAAAAUCUUUCAUGAUUUUCCCAAUUUAGGGUUCUCUAAUACUGGGUUUAAUUAUGAAUUAGUGUAUUGAUGAGCAUUUAUUUAUUUUUGGUUCUAUAUGGUUUAUUCUCUUUUUGAUUGAAUUUUUUAACAAUCAUUUAUAUAUAGAUUGCUUUGUUCACCAAAAAAAAAUAAAAAAUAUAUUAACUUUUUUAGUUUUGAUUUUUUCCGGUUUUAAUCAAAUAAAAAAUUAUUUUUACCAUCUUUAAUUUAAAAACCGUUUGUUUAAUUUCAAAUAAAAAAUAAUCAAAAUAAUGCUUUUAAUUUUAAAUCAUAGUUUAAAUAUAAUAUUGACUGCAUAGACAAACAUAAUCUUACACUAACAAAUAAUUAUAUAAAAAACAUCGUGAUAUUUAUAACAUGAUUUUCAAUAAUUAUAUUGAAAUAUUAUUAGUAUUCUCACUUGCAUGUUUUAACUAUAAGGUAAUUUGGAUAAUAUUAACAAGAAUGGGGAUUUUAACUUAAUCUCAACCAUAUAUCGAUAUAUAUAAAUUAAUUGAUCUGAAAAUAUCAAAAGAUAGAUGGAAGCAAACAGACGUAACACUUUUCCCCCGCAUGCAUGAUUGAGACGAUAGGGCGAAAUAAACGGAAUCAGCCUGGGAAAAAUACAAGGAUGAAAAUGAAAACAAAGUAAAAGAAAAGGGGUUACAAAUAAAGUAAGGAAACGUUUUAGCAGGGUCUAAUUGAAAGAACAAUUUUCCAAAAAGUGAAUCACCUUUGGGAAAAAAAAGAGGUUUUCGGCUGUGAUUGAGGAUUCAUAGGAUUUUUCCACCCUGUAGGGCCCAGUGGGAUUUUUUACUAAAUCCUUUUGACUAAUGAAAUUGAGUAAUUUUCCACUAAGAGACAAAAAUGCUUGUAUCGAUUUGAAAUUUUGCGUCGGAGGGAAAGCACAGAAGGGAACAAGAUUUGAAUUUUGAUCCAUAAGAAGAAAACAAAUUUCUUCAUUUCAAUGGCUGCCAGCUUCGCAAUAGAGUGGCGGGAAAAUCUGAUCUAGCUUUCUUGACAAAUACUACAAGUCAAUCAGAGAAAUAUUUGAUUAUGAAAUGGGAUAAUAGAGAUUUGGUGCAUCUUAUGGUAACUGAGAUUUGAAUAUUAGGAAAAAGAGUAGAUAUCUAAAUAUUAGUUUGGGACUGGUAGUUGGAGUAUGAUAUCGAUCUUGCUGUAUUUUAAAUGUAUUUAAAUUCUCAUUAGGAAAAAAAAAAAAAAAGAGUUAAUAGUGACAGGGUAAAUUAAAGAUGUGUUAAAACAAGAAAAAUAUCCUGUUUCAAAUUGUAUUUUUUAACUACAAAUAUCAUUUUAAUUGUUAUUCAUUUAAAUUCUAGUUUGAAACACAACAUAUCAUAUAAAUAAACAAGUGAAGUCUUAAUCUAUAAACAACGUGUAUUAAUUGUUAUCAUAGAAAAUCUGUUAGAUACAAACUAUGAAUUAAAAUUUAAUAAUUAUAAUUUUUUUUUAAAAAAAAAUCAAUUUAUAAUGCUUUUAUAGGCUUAACUAACUCAUUUAAUUAUUUUAAUAAUAUGAUGUUGCUACUUAAGUUUACAUUAUCAAUCACUUUUGUUGAUAUUAUUAUCAUUAUUUCUAUUAAUAUCAUCAUUAUUAUUAAUUAUUAUCUCAACCAUCAUCAUUACAGAUAUUAUAUUUUUAUAUUAUUACUUUUUAAAUAACAUAAAAUUUGUUUUGUAAUAAUAUAUCUUAUGAAAAAAUAUUUUAUAAGUACAAUAUUUUAUGGCAAUCAAAUGCCUUCUCGCUUAUUAAGGAUUUGCUGACGUGGUUGAUAGUUUUUUUUUUCAAACUUAUUAUAUCAUUGAUAUAUAAUUUGAAAUAUCCGCAUCAUGACAUCAAUGAGCAGUUGCUUGGUGAUUAAGGGGAGCUAUAAAAUCAUGUCCAAAAUUGCUGGCAACCCACAUUAAAGUCAAGAAUUUGCUAAACGACGAGCUGGCCUUUAAAAUCUCUCCCUGUGUUUUCUUUAUUCAUUUAUUAGUGACAAAGAAACCAAAUUCUCCCUUACACGUUCAGUUUUUAUUUCAUAAUUUUAAGGGUUUUAGAAGUGUGAUGAUGAUUAUUUUUUAAAGUAUGUUUUAUUUAAAGAUAUAUUAAAAUAAUUUUAUUAUUAUUUAAAAAAUAUUUUUGUCACCAGCAUAUUAAAAUGAUAAAAAAAAUAUUUUUAUACAAAUAAAAUUAAUUCUUUAUGAAAUAUUAUUUAGAACUCAAUUUCAGUUUAAUUUGAUGAGUUGAUUUAAAAUCCAAUUAGAGUAGAGUUUGUAAUUAGAACGACCAAAAUUUUAACCUGAUAAGACUAGUGGUUUUGAUUAAUACUAAAUUAGAUAAUAAUAAUAAAAUACUUCGAAUGAAAUUAUUUAAAGUGGAAUUCAAUUUAGUUUUAAUAAUAUACUACAUAUUAAUUAAAAAACUUGGAACUUUUUUUAUUAAUUAAAAAGCCUAGCCUACUUACAAAUAUCAACAUAAAUAGUUCUAUUUAGUUUUAAUAUAUAUAUAUAUAUAUAUAUAUAUAUAUAAGCAGUAGGAAGUUGAAUUUGUUUUAUUAAUUAAUUCACCUGGUGGUGUAUUCAGUCAAGAGUGAAAGAUGAUAGGUUAUUUACAAGUCAAAAUCUUUAAAAAUUAAAAAACAUAAUAACUGAAAAAAGAUACAUAAAAUAUUUAAUAUUUAAUUAUUUAAGUCUCACUUAUCAAAAAAAUCAAUUAAACCUUUUAUAUAUAAAAAAACUGAAUAACCCUAUUAAUACUAAAUAGAAAAAUUAUUCCCUUUAAAUAUAAAAACUAGAAAAGCUUAAUGAUACUAAAUAGAAAAACAAAACUCAUAAACUAAAAAUAAAUAAAAAUUAUUGAGCAAAAAUAUUUAUUUUCCCAAAAAAACUUCUACAUUAAUUUUUAUAAAUCAGAAGAAACUCGUUCCGAGUUCAAAUUAUUCAUGGAGUUGAACCCUCUUGGUUGAAAAACAUCUCUUCUACCAUUAAAUUAUAUAAUGAAAUAUUCUUUCAGCAAAACCUCCUCAAUUAAAAACCAAUAAUCAUUUUAUGUGUGUUACCUCAUUACAAGUUCUUAACAUCUUUAUAAGAGUUGUUGUAUUAUAGAUCUGAAACAUAUUUAAAAGUUUAAAAUUAGUUUUAAUAUUAAUACAUCAAAACAAUUUGAAAAUAUAUUUUUUUUAAUUUUAAACAAAAAAAUAAAAUUUUAAAUUUUGAAAACAUGAUAUGCAUCAAGUUUCAAACCUAAGAAUAGUUAGAACUAGUUAUAUGACCCGCGCAAUGCCACGAGUCAAUUUGUUUUGCAUAAAAAAAUAUGAAAAAAAAAGUUAAGAUAUAAAAGUGUUAGGUUUUUUGCAAAGUUAUACUCAGGAGCCGUGAGUUUGACUGCAACGCCUAACUCAAGAGUAAUAUUUAUAAUAUUAAUAAUAAUAUCAAACUUGUAUGACCCAAGUUUAAGUGAGUUUUACUGCAAUACCAAAACCAAUAGUCUUGGAUGUGGAUGUGGCUGCAAAGUCGUGUCAUAAAAGUGUGAUAAUAAAAUAAAUUGAUUAAAAAAAAACCAACAGGAAGAAAAAAACUAAUAAAAAAAAGAAAAAAAAUCUGAAUUAACUGGGUUAACCCAUCAAACCAAGUUAACCCUUCAAACCUGGAAUCCGUGUCAUGAAAGUCUGAUAAUUAAACAGAAAAAAUUUAAUAUUAAGAAACUAAAUUAAAAAAAUAAUUAAAAAACAAAGAAAAAAGACAAAAAAAAAAACUAAAGGCAUUAACUUUUUCACUGUGAAUUGCACUAUGAAAUCCAUAGUAAAAGACUUAAAAAGAAAAGGAUAAGGAAAAAAACACAAAGGCAUACGCCACGGGUUAAUUUUUUUUUUCUUGCAUAAGAAAUAUGAAAAAAAAACUAAGAUUUAAGAGUGUUAGGUCUUUCUACAAAAACAUACCUAUGAGCCUUAGGUCUAGCUGCAACGUUUGACCCAAGAGUAAUAUUUAUAAUAUUAAUAAUAAUAUUAAACUUACAUGAAUCAAGUUUAAGUGGGUCUGACUGCAACACCGGACUCAAGAGCCUUAGAUGUGAGUCUGGCUGUAAGGUCGUGUAAAAAAAAUAUGAUAAUUAAAUAGAUUAAUUAAGAAAAAACAAAUGAAGAAAAAGAAAAAAAAAUUGAAUUAAUUGGGUUAACCCUUCAAAUCAGGUUAACAUGUCAAAGUUGAGAUUCGCGUCAUGAAAUUUUGAUAACUAAAUAGAAAAAAAAAAGUUGACGGGUUAACCCAGAAUUAACUGGGUUAAUCCGUUAACACAGGUUAACUCGUCAAGCCCGAGACAUGUGUCAUGAAAGUUUGAUAAUUAAAUAGAAAGAAAUUUAACUUUAACAAACUAAACUAAAUGAAAAAAAAAAAAUUAAAAAGCAAAAAAAAAAUUGUGUUAACUCGUCAAAUCAGGUUAACCCGUCAAAUCUGGGAUAGUCUGAUAACCAAAUAAAAAAAAUUAACAUUAACAAACUAAAUUAAAUAAAAAAAUUCAUGAAAAGAAAAAAACAUAAAAAAAUUCAUAAAAACAUAAAAAAAAAAAAAUUAUUAUUUCACUGUGAAUUUUAUAGUAAAACACUGAGCAGAUUUAGUUUAUUGUUAAUACGCAGUCUGGCUGACACCUAAUGUCCUAAAUAAGAAAACCCAUUGGGUUUUACGUAUGAACAGAAAAAAAUAGAAAUGUGAACAAUUGAAGAUAAGAAAGAGGUAUUUCAAACAUUUUUUUUUUUAACAAUAAUAUAUGAAGAUCUGGUGCAUAAUUUAACUAACUGAGUCCUGGCCUCGACCAAAUACUUUGGCUUCUUCUUCCCGCAAGCUAUCCACAGAGCCAUUUCACGAAUCAUGUCAUGCAUUUUCUCAUCUCUGGCGCCUUCAUCUUCCAAUCAGCAUUAUUGAGUAAGACUGUCAUUGAUGUUGUAACCUUCAAUUCGAGCCCCUCAUACAUCUCCAUAUUCACCCAAAAAUCCCUCCCAUGGCCAACCAAUAAUCUAAUUCCGGGAAGAAAGCACAAUACAGGAAACAAUAAUUAACUUUGUUGCUGUGAAGACUAUCAUAACCAAGCUUCAGCAGAGCAAGGUCCCUAUAGGAAGUACCUGAAAAGUCUGAGGUGGCCUUACUUCUGGUAGGGAUCCUGAGACGCCACUACCCAUAUAACGAAAUCGAAAUGGAGCUGUGAGUUGAGCAAGCUGUUGCAGACUUGAGUCAAGAGAGCAGUCUUGAGAAAGAUUGACAUCCUGCAAACCCACGACAACAAUGAGAUAUAUGAGAAAGCAGUGAAAAUUUUGGAGAGAUACUGGGCUGAGGAAGAAGAUGGAGAACCAAUUGUCCAAGAUGGUGGAGAUGGAAAUCAGCAAGGUUUUGCUUUUGGAACUAACCAGCCAGCGUUCCUCAAGGUGGCUUCAAGUUUGGGCGAACGCCUCUCUAGCUUUUUGUAGAUUUUUUCACUUGCUUUGAAAUUUUCAACACUAUAUGUUCGUUGCUGCCAAGGCUCAGAAUUUUUGGUCUGGCACAUAGGGUUUCAGUAUCGAUGGAAAUUGUCAAAAAAUGUUAAAACUUUAGGACUCCACCUUGGAAUUAGUCGAGUUGAAUUGUAAAAUUGAUGUAAAGGAUCUUUGUGAUUGUCUUGAUAUGGAAUUAGACUCGUGCUAUGAUAUAUGAUGAGUUCUUAUAUAUUGAGAGCAUCAGACUUGUCCCGAAUGGCUGGUUUCUGAUGUAGCUAGAGCAAAUUUUCUGAUGUAGCCACUGAAAAUGUAGCUGUUAUGGAUUGUGCAUCAUCUUUUCAACUUACAUCUCGAAUGGAUGAGAUGUUUGAGCCUGCUGCAAUGAAUGCAAUGUGAAAAAAACUGCCGCAGCUUGGAGGCAGUAGCACUGAAAUGAUUUCCAUGUAGCUGUUACUCAUGUUUAUCAAUCCCCUCUUAUGAGGCAUAAAGGGUUGACAAGUGGAAAGCGUUGAGGCACAAACAACCAUAGUUAUCAGACAUGGUUAUGGUUUGAGUUGUGGAUUUUGUUAGAUCAAUCAUAAAAUGAAGUUGUUUUGUUAUUUAUAUAAAUAAAAAUUAAAAAAAAUUAUCAAGUCAAUUUUUAAAUCAAUUCAAAAUAAAAACCUAAUCUGAGUUCGAUUUCAAGUAUAUGAAUUAUCGAAUUAAUCUGGCCGAGCAAGUUUUCAUAACCACGUACAAAUCAAAAGCCCUUUGAUUGAAUCAACAAAAUUCGGGAGAGGAUCUAAUCUCCAUCAUUAGACAUUAUAAAGAAGGGCUAGACGCAAUAUUAAAUGGGCCAGAAAGAUCUUAUCAUCUGAAAAUAAUAAAUGAAGAUUAGAGGGUUCAUUUUUUACAAUCAAGACUAGGGCUUUAAGUUUAUAGGCCUUUGUAAAGUGUAGUAGCUCUGUCCUGCGUAGCUCAACCAUGGCAGACAGCAACGAGAAUCAGCAUGACAAAGGCAAAGAGCAAGAGCAAUAUGGUGUCCUGCUUUACUACAAAUACACAGAAAUCCCUGAUCUCAACUCCCUCCUCUCCUUCUACAAUUCCAACUGCACUUCCCUCUCCCUCCUUGGCCGUGUCCGCCUCUCUCUCCAUGGAGUCAAUGUCACUGUAAUGCGCCCAACUCAAUAACCCCAACUUUUUGCAGUUUAAAUCUCAAAAGUUUGAAUCAUUUUGGUUAUUAAAAUUUUGGGUUUCCUUUGUUUUCUUCAAUCAUAUCACAAUCUCAUUGAAAAGUUUGAAACCUUUUGCUGUUUGGGAUUUUGGGUUUAGUUAUUUGAGUCCAAAAAUUGGAAAGUUUGGAACUUUUUGCUUAUUAGAAUAUUGGGUUUCUUUUGUUUUCUUCAUUGGUUUAAGUUGGAGGCAAGUUGUCUUCAUUGGAGAAACAUAUUGAAGCUGUGAAAGCUAUUAGUUUAUUUGAAGGGACUGAUUUCAAGCUUGCUUCUUGUCAUUUCCCAUUGAAUGACAAGGUUGCUCAUGAAUGUGGCUUCACUUCUCUUUCCAUUCGCAUUGUCAAGGUAUGAAUCUUUGUUCUAUCAAACUUUGGUUUCUAUUCGUAUCAUUGUUUUGAGCUAUUUGGUAUAGUAUAAGUUUUGAUUUGAUAUGCGUUUGUGUUUGCGUUUGCUUGCUUGGUCUAACAUCUUGAUGCGUUUUGGUGUGGCUAGGAAUUGGUUACUCUUAGCCCUUAUCCUCUUGUUAAAGCACCGGAUGUUUCAAAUGCUGGUAGGCAUUUGUCCGCUGUGGAGUUCCAUUCUCUUCUUCAAAGUGCUGGUGAGUUGUGAUUUUCUUUUUGAAAUUUUAUUGCAUGCUUUACUUUUUGGUUUGCUUUCGUUUUAUAGGCUAUGUUUAUUCUUCUUUGUAGUAUUUUGUUCUCUAAAUUUGGUUUUGUUGUUUUGAUAUGUAAGAGAAUGACUAGUAAUGGUUAACUAUGUGUUGGGUGAUUCUGUUUAUGUUUCUCAGGGAAGCUUGUAGAUAAAGAAAGUCUAGUUGAUGAUAAAGGUCUUGUUUUAUUAGAUGCAAGGAAUCUGUAUGAGACGAGAAUUGGGAAGUUUGACAUGCCAAAUGUGGACACUUUGGAUCCUGGAAUCAGACAGUAUAGUGAUCUGCCAUCCUGGAUAGAUGAUAAUUCUGAACAAUUGCGAGGAAAGAAUGUCCUGAUGUAAGUGCUUGUUCCAAAAUUGACUUUUUAUUGGUGUUGACCUGAACUUCACUCUGUUUUCCAUCUGAUUUGUAAAAUCAUGUUAUCAUGGUUGAAAGUUGGUGCAGUUAUGGCUUCAAACGCCCAUUUUUCCACUCUAAUCUUAGUAUGUUUUGUUUGGGUGCUGUGUAGGUAUUGUACUGGAGGAAUCAGGUGUGAGAUGGCAUCGGCCUAUAUUAGGUCAAAAGGUGCUGGAUUUGAGAAUGUAUUUCAGGUAAGCUUGGGAUCCAGCAGAAGCUAGUGUUAUGCUUACCUUGACCAUAAGAUCCUGAGGAAGUUAGGUCCUGAUUGUUGAUCGAUGUACUGAUAUAUUUUGCAAUGCUGGCUUUGUUGCAGUUGUUUGGUGGAAUACAGCGUUAUUUAGAACAAUUUCCAGAUGGUGGUUUUUUCAAAGGAAAGAAUUUUGUUUUUGAUCACAGGUAUGAUUGCUCAGAGUAAUUGCGACCCUAUUGAUUUUAAAGUUUUUACCUUAUCCUUUGGUGAUUGCAUAACAUCAUGCUUUUAUUGAACUUUCUGGUGUUCAAUAAAAGAAAACAAGCAAAGAAAAAGAAGUGUCGAUUUGCCGAGUAAUUUUGUAUUGUGGCUGUAGGAUUUCUGUUGGGAGCUCAGAUACAAAUAUCUUGGGAACCUGCCUUCUCUGUGGCUUAUCCUUUGAUGAUUACUCUUCACGAUGUAGAUGCUCAUAUUGUAGAAUGCUAGUAUUGGUCUGUGAUAGUUGCCGGGUAAGUUUUGAUGACUAGAGUCCUUCUACCAUUGAAUGUUAAUAUUUCUGACCAUUUAAGCAUGUCUAUCAUACUUUAGCUAGCUCCAUCUUGUCCAGUGAAUAUUCUAAGAACCUUAACCAAUGCUUCUCGAUUUUUAUCUAAAGUGAAACUUAAAAUAAUAGCUUUUCAGAUUUUCAUUUUCCCUUCUAAAAACAAUCAUUGCCUAAUAUGUAUGUGUUUUGAUGAACUGUUUGUUCAGCUCCCAUGCCGCUUGUAGGUUUCUGUAUUUUGUUGGGUCUUAUUUGUUAAUUUUUGUGGGUGGGCAGAAGGAGGAAGCUGUUUAUGCUUGCGAGCUGUGCCAAAAACAUGGAAAGGUAAUUGAGUCAAAUGUUGCUGAAAAUGGUGAACAGCAAAAUAUAUUGCCUCAAGUUGAGCUCAAAACCAUUUCCUCAGAUACUAUCCUCUCGCCUCAACUUCAUGGGGAACAGGGUAAGGUCUGUCUCCUUAUCACUUGGAUUGUUUUGGUUCCGUGUUUACCAAGAUAACAUGUAGUACAAUGGUGUAUUUAUCUUGGCUAAUAGUGAACAUCUGUCUUUUUUUAUCCCUGUUACAUCUUUCAUUUUGUUUUCUUCCAAGAACUUCUCAGUCUUAAUGUAAUUGUUCAUCCAAUAAAACAGGUGCUAGACCUCCAAGAAAGCUAAGAAUCUUGUGCUUGCAUGGGUUUCGGCAGAAUGCAUCUGGUUUUAAAGGAAGAACUGCAUCAUUAGCCAAGAAACUUAAAAACAUUGCUGAGCUUGUCUUUGUUGAUGCACCUCAUGAGUUGCCUUUCAUAUACCAGCCAUGUGUCUCGGAACUAGAGUGCAGUGAUGAAUCAUCAUUUUCGUCACAACAAAUUCUCCCCCCAACAGAAACUUGCAGGGGAAAGUUUGCGUGGUUGAUAGCACCUGAUUCCAAAGGAAGGAGUGCAACUGAUUGGAAAAAGGCAGAUAGUCCAUUUGAUCCCCUCCAGUACCUGCAGCAAACUGAAGGGUUUGAUGUAUCAUUAUCGUAUUUAAAGACAGUAUUCUCUCGGGAUGGGCCAUUUGAUGGGAUCCUGGGAUUUUCUCAAGGAGCAGCGAUGGCUGCUUUACUUUGUGCACAAAAAGGGAGGCUAAAAGGUGACAUUGAUUUCAGAUUUGCAAUUUUGUGUUCUGGGUUCGCUCUUCCAUUUGUGGAGAUUGAGAGUGGAUCGAUUAACUGCCCCACUCUCCAUAUAUUCGGAUGUGUUCCAGGCAAGGACAGGCAGAUUGCAAACAAAACAAGCAGAGAACUUGCUUCAUUAUUUGAAGAUGGUUGCUCAGUAAUUAUUGAGCAUGAUUGUGGUCACAUCAUUCCUACUCGGACUCCAUACAUCGAUGAAAUCAAAGGCUUCCUUCAACGCUUUCUGUAAUGCGAUUAAAAAUCCUUUGUUAACCAAUAUGGUUACUUUAAGAUGGCUUCUCAGCUAUUACCUGAUCCGUAUUUGCUUGUUACUCAUUACACCAUUUUUCUUCAAUCACUUGCAAAUACAAUUUAAUUCCAAGAUUUAUCUUUUUAUUAAAAAUAUUUUCGAAGUCCAUUGAAGCCCCUCAACUGAGAAUUUAAGAUUUGUACAACGUACAGACGGAAAUACUUCAUAAAAAACAGAGGAGAACAGUCACUCGUCUGCCUCAUAGAAGACCAGACAACGAACACGCAAGUUCUUCAGAAUGAAAACUGAGAACCAACAAAUCCUAAAUUUAGAUUUUUUGGAAUAAAAACUUUCAGCUUGUGUUUGGAAUUCUGAAGCAUUAUGGUUCUUAUAUCUUUACUUCAGCCAAUUGAGCCAAACAACAAAGCUGAUGGUUUCUAUAUGCAUUUCUCAGGAAGAGAUUUACAGUCAUAUACAUGAAACAAACAAGUAUGAAGCUUUGCCGACCUGGUGUUAGCAUUCGGCAAAUACACACAACUAUUCGUUAUGAACUUGAAAUCUAGAUUUUCGUUAUGACCUGGUCUUGUCAAUUUUUAUUUUCAACACGAAAAAUAGAUGCAUGAGUGUUAUGAUAUAUGCUUAGCAACCUGAAUUCCUUGGUGAUGAUCGGACAGGGGCUGGGAUGAACAUAUGGACCAGGGUAGUUUGGGCCACGUACUCACCUCCAGAAACUCCAAAAAAAAACUUGUUUUACAAUCGUGAGAAUCACCUCAUUGACCCAUUAGAUCAAUGACAAGCCCGAUCACUCCAAGAAUGGGCCAAUUCAUCAUUCAAUAAACCAAGUCAAGCUCAAUUACUUCACUGGCCUAAAAUCACAUUCCAUGGAAAACCUAAUUUAGUAUGAAGUUUUUAUAACCUCAUCAGAUGGCCUCAAAUUCUAUUAUUAGCAGAAAAAAGAAACCAUCCAGGCAUUUCAUUGUUGUGGGAAUUACGUAGAUUAAUAUCAUCUGCUUCCCAUGUUGGAAUGUUAGGGUGUGUAUUUGUUAUAUAUACUUGCAUGUUGUAGCAAACAAAGCUCAUUUAUAGAUAAACAUUUCCAUUUUCCAGCUAUAAUUAUCGGAUUUGGCUUGAGAUUUGACCCAGUUUAGAGCUCGGUUUAUUAGGUUAUUGGAUUAACUCAUGGUCACUAAGUCAUUCCAUAUUACUUCUAAUUCGACACUGUUUUGAAAAUUAAAAAAAUAAAAUUCAUUCGAGUUAACUUAUGGAUCGUGAAUCAAUUAUAUAGUCAUCUAAAUUUUAACUGAAUUAAUAUUUAAAAUAUUCAAAAUAAAACCUAAUCUAGAUUGACGACAAAUUAUUGAAUCGACCAGUCGGUCGGACAGGCCGAGCAGGGAUGGAUAUAUAUGUCCAUGAUAAUUCUAACACCAGCUACGAUCGUCCAUCGAAGCAAGUGUUGUAAUCAAUCAGUGUCAGUACUGUUUCUACCCUUUUUGAGUUGCUUAAGAACUAAGAUGUUGUUGUAAAUAAUAACAGUAAAGGAUGUUAAGAGUUAGCUGAGAACCACGGAGCAUCAUUUUGAGGUCGGAGCUUCACGCCCUCACCGCCCAAGCAGCACCAUCAAAACAACCAUCUAGAUGUACAAAACUACAAAGGCUCCUGGGGAUAAUCCAAGCAUGCAACUAUUUGGGUUGGUAGCUCGUCUAUUUCUGCACAUGGAAAGAAGCUUCAGACUUGUGUUUUCUCUCUUUUCUUUCACUCACGCAAGCAACCGAUCGUGAGCAUGAAGUGUUUUGACUUUUGGGCGUAGUCUGAAUCAAUGAAAUGCUUUCCUUCUUGUGUUUUUUUUAUAUGAUGUAUUGUUGAAGUGUUCUUUAUUAGUAAAAAGAAAUAGAAAUCUCAUUACAUGCCUUGAUCGGUAAAUUCUGAAGAAAGUAGAGUGGAUUAAGUUGAGAAAACCUGCACUAAACCUGAUAUGAACUGAGUUUAAUGAUAUAUUGAUUCGAUAAAAUUAAGUUGAUAUUAAAGAAAAGUUUUUUAAAAUAAAACGAAACUGCUUUAAUAAAAAUAAAUAACCUUAAUUGAUUUUUCCUUCGGUAGGUUGUAACAAUUGAGCCAGGAGUCUACAUCCCAUCCAUUUUUUACGGUCCGGUCCAGAUAGGUACUUCCCUUCCUGCGAAAGCCAUUAGGACACGUCAUGCAAGAAGCUAGUUGCUCUGCAGCUUGCAGAUUACAUUAAUGACAUGUUUGGAAUUGUAAAUCUGAAAAAUAUAUUCAGACUCGUCGUAAUUCAUAUAGAAAAUCCUUGAAUUUUACUAAGCUUUCAGGAGCUGGGAUUAGUUCCUGAGUAGCUCCAUGCCAAAAGAAGUAGAACACACAGUCCUUGCUAAACAACCGCAGUCAUGGAAGAGUUAAGGAAGCUCAAAAUAAUCUGGAAGUUGCUUCGUGUGAUCCACUUAAAAUUGUCAUUGGGACAAGACAAUGUCUUGUUGCCCUAAUUUCUAACUCUAAAAUCGUUUUACGACACAUUGGGCUUUCGCUACAUUGAUGUGAUCGGAGCGCGGAAGCAGAGUUAUACAGAAGCUGCUUCCGGUUGACAAUUCCCUCGAACAGUUGAAGAGUCAAUACAAUUGCUCAUUGCCUCAUCUCACUCCACAGGUAUUUUCAGGCCUGUAUCCUUUUUCACGUUGGAGAGGUAGGACAACGCCAUGGUUCUCAUUCCUGAGGCCUUUUCCCUCGUUUACCUCCUCUAUUCUUGUGAAACUAUAUAUUUAAAAAUAAACUCAGGUUAAUCUAUUAAUUUAUAGGUUGAUUUAUCAACCCGCAACAAGGAUAUUAAACCGUGAACAAUUGAGUCGGGUAUACUAACUAUGGCUACAUUAUUGCCAUUUUGUUCUGGUUAAUUAAUUUUAUUAUGCAAUCUCCAAUAAAUGGCUACGGUCAUGUUCACACCAAGAAGAACUUUAUAUUGACAGAUGCUUAUCGUUUCUUUUCCCCUGAUCGAUGUGAAAGAUGAUACCAUGUUUAGUUUUUUGGGGUGGCCGUAGGAUAAUAAAACAUUCGUUCUUUUUUUUUUUUUUUUUUUUGAGAAGUAUAAUAUUGCAUUAGAAGACGCCAAUAGAUGACGGGAACAUAGAGAUUCUGUUUACAGGACACCUAAACAGAACUAUGCAAUGAAAUGAACAACAUACCAAGAAACGAAAAGAACAAAAUGCAGCUACAAUAUACAUAUUUGAAGCCAAGAAAUCAAAGAAGCAGCUAAAAGAUGCAGAUUUGGAGCCACACCAGGAAGAGAAGCCAAACAGACUUCUACCGAUAUCCAGAUUAGAAGAAAAACAAAAUCUUUCCAUCUUGCAUCUUCUUAUCCAAAACAAAAUACCAGCCAUGGACUCUUCACAGAACAACCUUUGACAACUUAACAAUAAGAGAACCAAGAUACUCGACGCAUUAACAUAGAAAAAACCAUAGCAGGCAAAAGGAAGCCCAUCAACAGAAGCCCCUAGACUUGCAACAUCAAAAUCUGAAACCAAGAAGUUUCACAAAAGACAAAGAUCUGACCAGCUGGAAUUGCUUCUGUAUAGCUAGAUGAUUCUUCUCCUUUCUAGAAAUAGAGUAAUCUGGGAAACAAUCCAGUUUCCUUAGCAUCCGUAACCAGAAUUUAAAGAAAAAAAAAGGCCCAAAUAUCAAGCAGAUUAGAGCCAAGCGACCCAUUCAGAGUUUCUAAACACCCCCUCUUUUUUGCCAUGUGAUCUGCCAUAUGAUUACUCUCAUGAAGAGAAUGAGUGAAUGUGAGUGAACCAAAACAUGAAGCUACUCUCUGAAUAGAGGAGAAAAGAUUAUGAUGCAACCAAGGUCUAUUAUGAGGGUUAUUCAUCCAGCUAAUGACAUUGGUCGAGUCAGAUUCAGCAAUAAUUUGUUUAUGAUGCAGAUGACAGUUAGAAGCUGAUAAUUCAAUAGCUUUGACAACCGCUUUUAGUUCAGCUACAUUAGAGUCUAAAAUCCCAACUGGCAAGGAGAAUAUACCAAGAAGAAUCCCAUGAUGAUUUCGCAAGACUCUGCCUAUACCUGAGGAUCCCGGCUUCCCAAGAGAGGAACCAUCCACAUUCCAUUUGAAGCAAUUAGUCAUAGGGGGAGACCACACAACAACUGCUCUAUGAUUUGAAGAAUUAGUCCAUCGAACUAGCCCUUCUAUUGACCUUAUUAAUUCUGAAGUGGAAUAAGAGAAAUCAGGCUCUAUAGCCUUUAUCCAAAAGCAGAGACGAGUAAUAAUAAGGAUAAACAAAGUAUCAUAAUUCGGGGUUGUUUGCUUGAAUAUUGCAUCAUUACAAAGAAGCCAAAGAGACCAUGUCAUUGAAAAGAACAACAUCAACCAAGCUUUUUUUUGAAAUUUUCCAUAAACCAAGGAAUCCCACUGAGAGAAAAGAGCCGCCAAGUCUUUUGGGCAACACCACGCUAAGCCCCACCAAUUGAUAAUUUUAAACCAAACUAUCCAAUUUUUAUGACAAUGCAGCAAUAUAUGAUCCACCGAUUCUUCCUCAACAAAGCAAAUUGGACAAGCAGCAACUGAGAUGUUCAAAAUUCCUUUUCUGACCAGCAUACUACGAGUAUUAAUUUUUUUUAAUUAUAGCCAUUCAGCAAACAUUCGUUCUUGUUUGGUAAUGAAAUGAAAGAGAGUUCCACCACUGUUGGUCGUGCGAGGCCUCGCCUUUAUGUUACAUAUUUAUGCUGUUCCUCACCUACUUCCUAACAAUGGGCUGAUCUCUCCCCCCACCUCUUCACUGAGUCUGCUUCUUGAUGAACAGACAGUAACAUCGUCUUCUUUUUUCCAUGAAUGUGCUGCAAUUUGUAUUAUCAUCUCUUAUUACUCUUUCUGAUGCGGCCAAGCCUGAUUAGAUUAGGAAUCAGAGAAGAAGAUGAUGGAAAAAUCACAAAAAAAUUUCAAAAACAAGAAGCCUGCUCGUGCUGUUGUUUCUCGAUAAUUUAUUCUGCCAAAAUCUUCUCCAGGAAAAAUAAAAGGAUAAUAAUAGCUUAAACUGUAGCUGUCCGAACGUAAAAGGAAAAAAGGGAUCUUGGUAGGAAAAUAAAAUCAAAAGUCCAAAAUUAAAGGCUAAAACAAUAAAAUUGAUUAAAACAAUAUUUUUAUAGGCUUAAUUUGAAGGAGCCAAUUAAAUUUACUAUCAAAUCUAAGACCUAUUAAUUUUUUCAAGUUGACUUUGAGUAACUUAUUAAAUCUAACACCUAAAAUUUGCUCUAGAUUAAUUCUUGAAUCGGUUUAAAAACUAUAUAUCUAGUAAUGAUCACACGAGGAUGUUAAGAAAUAUUAAACCUAGAUUCUAAAUUUUACCAUGCACUAAAAGCAUCUCUUGAAAUUCAAUCGCUAAACCAUAAGAGAUGAUCUAAAAUUUAGGAAAGCUUUGCCACUACCCAAUUUAACCCAAACCUAUAGCUCAAGAUUAUAGUUUUUAUAAUCCAUUAAGGCUAUGUUUAUUUACUUGUAGUUUUUGUAUUUUCGGUGCAAAAAACAUAAUAAGAUAUUUGAUAACACACCAAACUAUGUUUUUUUUUUUUUUUAUUGUGGGGCUUACUAAAAAAUUAAGUUUGAAACGCAGUUUUUGAGAAACAAUUUUUACAUGUUUUUAUAACUGAGUUUCGUAAAAGAGUUUCGUAAAACUCUGUUUGUUUUUGCGUUUCAAAAGCACUUUUGAAAAAAAUUAUUUUUUUUUUACUUCAAAUUCAUUUUUUUUUGUUUUUAUAUCAUUUUGAUGCGCUGAUAUCAAAAAUAAUUUUUAAAAAAUAAAAACUUAUUAUGAUACAUUUCCAAAUAAAAAACACUUUGAAAAAUAACUGCAAUCACACAACUACCAAAUAUUUUAUACAUAUUUUUUAUUGUAUAUAAACCUCAACCAUAAUUUUUACUAAAUACAUAUCUAAAUAUAACUAAUUAACCACAUAUAACAAUACUUUUUUAAAAUUUAUUUUUAAAAAAUUAUAAUUAUGAAAAUUAUCUAAAAAACAAACGGCACUCUCUAAGUUGUCCUCUGAACAAGGUUUUAGAAAGCAAUCAAAGUAGAUAAACGACAAGACAAAAGAAUCACUUUUGAGUUGGCAAGGUCCAACCUUCAGACAAACAAAGGACCCGACAUCACUAGGUGUGCUGGGUUGUGUUGGACCCUAAACAGUGAAAAAGAACAAACGUUCUUGGCAGUUAGCAAAUUGUUGUUCAAAUAAAAUAAAUAAUCACAACAAAAAAGCAAACAUGUCUUCCUUUAUUUUUGCAAGAAUCAAGUUGACUCUCAACAUCCAGAAAAUUGUUGGGUUUGGAAUUUGUGUUGCAAUGGUUAUUCCACGCACUUGCAUCUCCAUGUUUGCAGGCUGGGGAUAAGGACCUCUCCCUCCACUGUAGCUUCGCCAGUGACCACACAGUCUACCCCCAUUCUGGGGUUCAAGCUAUGGUUAUUCAUCAUUAAUAACAUUAUAAAAAAGAUUAAGUUGUUACAUGAAAUUAAUUAUUUAAUAAAAAAAAUAAGUUGUUAAUGAAAUUUAACUGUUCUUCCUUCAAAGCCGAUCCAUUCAAUUCUCAACGUGAUUCGUUCUGAAGUAACUACUAUAACCUUAUCUUUAGAGUGUGAUUCCAAAGCUGCAGUAGAAAAGGAACCUAUGACCUGAUGAUUCAUAUCCAUUAUGGAAUAACUAUUACCUUAUCUUUAGAGUGUGAUUCCAAAGCCUAACUAUGAAGGUGAAAAUAAAAAAAUCAGAAGUUCAUGUUUUAGUUCAUGACUCUAGGGACUUUGAUUUGGAGUGAUUCUCAAAAAAUAAUUUGAAGGUGAAAAUACAAGCCUCUCAAUUAUGCAUUUGGAACAUUAAAUUUGAGAAUCAAUAGCAAUACAAAGUUAACUAGUUGCUGAAACAGCAAUAAAAUUUUUAAUAAUAGUUUGUCCAUUAUUAUAUAUAUAUAAAGGGCAUCAAAUUUAAACAAUUCUAGUCUCAUGAAAGUAACUUUUAAUUCCAACCUUCAUUUGCAAAUCUUAAUUAAAAAAGAAGGAAUACAGUAUAUUAUGCUUUCAAAAACUACACAAGCCACUCAAUUAUUUUAGCUUUGGAGGCAACGUAAAGAAAACAUCAAAGCUAUUAGCCAGACAUGGGAAACUAGGAAGGAGAAUUUGCUUAGAACUUUGAUAAUAGAACUGACGCAUGCUGACCAAAUUUUGUUCUUAGCCAACCUAACUGGCAACCAAAACCAAACACUUUACAGCAAAGUAGCUUAUUAUACAAAGAUAACACUUGACAACAAAAACUUUUGAUUUGAUAGCAACCCCACAUUUCAAAAAUGGGACUAAGCUAUUCUUUUUACUGUUUAACAGUUUUGAACACAAAUGAACCCGUGCAGCCAACCUUAACCAGUUCAGUUUGUGGCUUAGUGGAGUCAAAUGAUACUGUAGAAUAGUACAGCUGCAUAGUGGAGUAUACACUGCAUGAUAUAAUCUCGAGGAAGGUAGCAUAGUGACACCACAAUUUUGCAGCCAUUUGAUACAUGACAAAAAAAAAUUGAAAAAGAAGGUAGAGGCAGGAAAACUAUUUCCAAAUUCCAGUUCACCGACUCAUAGGGAAUCACCAUUCAUCAUUGUAUGACCACUUCAUCUAAACUCCCAUAGAUGCAAACUUUCCUUAAGAGGAUAUCAAAAUAUUCCUACACAUUAAGCACUCUCCGAUCACCCAUCUCGUUAUGCUAACUUGCACCUGUAUAGCAAAGAUUUUCACAGAUAUUCCUUUGCCUAUUCUCAUAAUUCCUUUCCCAAAUAUUGCAGAAAAUUGAACAAGUUAGUGAAUACUCAGCAUAAUCAAACAAGAACCAUUAAAAGGUAAGAGUCGUUAUUUAAACUACACAUCUGAUAUUAUGUAGAAAGAAUAUUUUGAAAUUAAUACAAAAGAAGUAAAGCAUCAUCAAAAAGAGUCCACAAGAUGAAUAACCUGAAAGAGCCAUAACAUCAAGGAUUCUUUGAGCUAGUAACAAUUCCAUUAAAACUACGACUAAAAGAAUUUAAAUAGAUGUUUACAAUAACCAAUUUCAUCACUCAACUUGCAAUAACUCCACAUUGUUAGAAUCUAAACAAACACAAACAUGCAUGAUUUAAAAAAAAAAAAAAACUCAUGCAAAUUGAGUUGGGGAUUAAGAAUAAUUACUUGUUGACAAGGGAUGCCUAGUUUUUUGAGCUUCAAAGUCCGAGUAACAAGAAGUUUGUGAAAGUCACCAAUUUCAGAUUCAAGCUUGGUUACAUGGGCUUCAACUCCUUUCCCUAUUCCAUUUAGAAACUCUGGAAUUCCAACUUUCACUGCAACAAAAAUAACAAAAAAGUAACAACAUUCUUCAAGCUCAGCCUCUUAUUAAUUGCAAAGAUUAAAAUCAAAGAAAAAGAAACUUACAACAGAAAAUCUAUAAGAACAUCGUUGUUCCAACAAUGAAAAACAAUGCAUCCACCAAAGAUUCAAUCUUUCAAAACUCAAAUCCAUUUUAAUCUCUCACAGAAAAUCACACAAAAAGAAAUAUCCUUUUCCAGUUACUAUUUACAUGAAAAUCAAAUUUUCUUCAUUUUACACAUGCAAAAAAUGAAAACUUUAUGAGCAGCAAAAGGGAGACAUGAAAAUUAAAGCAAAACCCACCAAUCUAUUCCCAUUUUCAAUCCAAGCAACUAAAAUCGAUUAAGAAAUUAAUUCAAGAACAUGAACUUAGUUAACGAUUACACAAAAAGAAAGAGCUCAAACGAAAAUGUUACCGAGGUAAGGAGAGGAGGAUUUGGAGAAGAAUCUAGAGAGCCCAGGUGUAGAAAUCGCUCGUUGUGGUGGGAUUGAAAAGGCCCUUUUAGUGUUUGUGAAUAUUUGCCUCCAUGUCAUUGCCAUCUCCGUAAAGCUGCUGCCUGCUACGGGGUUUUGGGGUUUUAGCAGAGCGGCCACGUUGUCCAGUGUUUUGAUGUGUUGUAAGUUUAGAAACGACUGGUCAUUGAGACAUUAGGAGGUCAUAGACGGUAUGUCAUUUAUGAUAACAAUAUGUGUCAAAUUAUAUUAUAGUCCCCAUGAAGUUUCUAAUAUUAUAAAUUAGUCCUUUUAGUUUCGAAGAAUCUAGAUAACCCAUUUGUAGAGAUUGCCUGUUGUGUUGGAACUGAAAUUAUUCUUUUUGUGAUUAUAUGCAUUCAUGCCAAGUUUUUUUACUAAAAUUAAAAGAUUAAAUAAUAUUUUUUUCUAAAAUAAAAUUGUUAGUUAAGUGUUAUCAGGAUUUAUCCAACUUGCUAACUUCUAAUAAAACUCUACUACUCAAUAUUAAUCCACAACUCUCUUAUAAAUUAUCUUCAUCAAUCAAUCCUUUGCUCUUAUCAAAAUCUUGCUCUCUUUAAUCCCUAAACAAGCUAGGUUUCUUUCGUUGUUUGUUUCUUGAGAAAACUAUGCAGAUAUUUGUGAGAACCCUGAGACUCAAAACCAUCACCCUUGAUGUUGAAAGCUCCGAGACAGUCGAAGACUUGAAAGCAAAAAUCUAUGAGAAGGAAUUAGGCAUCCGUCCUGAGAACCAACGUCUCAUAUAUUGUGGAAAGCAAUUAGAGGAAGGAAAAACCCUGUCAGAUUACAACAUCCAGAAGAACUCCACUAUCCACCAUGUUCUUAGGCUUUGUGGCGGCGGCAAGCAGCAAGCCUUUUAUUGAUCUUUCUUCAUGAUAUGGCAGAGAAAAUUCACAAAGUGCCUCCUUCUUGAUCAGUUUGUUGCUUAUUUAUCAGAGUAAGUCAUGUAGCUUUUCGUUAGUAUUUCGAAUUCUAAGAGACAAAGACAGAUUUUUUGAAGAAGACAUGGUUUUGGAGAUUGAAUUUUCUUUCGUAAACUUUUUUAAGAUUUUAUAUAUUAAUCAGUUAAGUUUCAUGAUUUUGUUAUCUAUGAUGGUUUGCCAUUAUUGUUAUUCCAUGUUAUCAUGUUAUAAUAGAUGACAUAGUAAUUAAAUCGGUUCUAGCUUAUAACCAUGCCCAAGACUUGGGAUAUAUAUCAUUUUAUUUUUUUACAAUGUUUUUUUUUUUUUUAAAUCAAAUCCAGGUGUGUAUUAAUGACUUAGAGAAAACUCAAAAAUCAGAUCUAAAUCAUUAACUAAAUGCGUUAAUGACCUGCAUUUUAGAUUAUUAAUUAAAUGUGAAUUGAUAAUUCGUAAUUUGAAUUUACCUAUCGUAUUAAUAAUAAUAUAAUUAUGAUAUAAAGAUUCUUAACAAUAAUAGCUAUCACAUGGCCCAUAAUAUACAUUUACGAAAUUGAUUUUUUUCUUGGAUGAUUUUUAUAUUUCAAUUUCAUGUUUUUAAUGAAGAUUAUUAACAAUAAUGGCUUUAACAUAUUAAUGUAACGUUUAUAUGACACCCCCCCCCCACUAGUUUAGUUCGAUUCAAUCUAAUUGAUGGUAAUAACAAAAGAUUUAAUCCCUAGUUGCCUUUUUACCGUACUAAUUCUCUACAAAGGUUAGAAAAAUUAUAAAGUUUCUUCUUGAUUACAAGUAGCUGAAACAUUAUAAUACUUCAAGUGCAAUUCCUCGAUCAUAAUCUAGAACAACGACUAUGUAAAACAAAGUUCUUGAAAAAAAAUAUGUGGCAAGAAGUGGUGGUCUUUAUCCUGUUAAAUUACUCCAUCAUUGUCUGCCAAGAAAAUGUACUUUGUCUUUCAUGACAAGGUAUAGUGCAUUCAAAACCCAAGGCUUUGGCAAUCUGUGCUUGAACAUGAUGCUACCUCCAACUUUGAUUUCUUACCGUGCUGACAUGUUGAUGCUUUUUGCCACCUCUCAAAAGUUUUGACAGUGAAAACUUACAACAGGAUUCAUCAACAGGAAUAGAGGGUCCAUGCAUUUAAAACCGCUAGCUGUACGUAGUUGCAUAGAACAUGCUAACUUGAGUAGGUGCUGAUAUAUAUAUAUAUAUAUAUAUAUAUAUAUAUAUAUAUAUAUAUAAUUUUUUAUUAUAAUAUAAUAAUAUAUAUUAUACAUUAAAACAAAAUAAAAACAAAAAAACUCUAAAACAUUCCAAAAAUCCUUUCAAAAAAUUUAUGAUUUUCUUGUGUAUUUUUUUAUCAAUUUUAAUUAAUAUUAGUUUGUAUUUUUAUAAUAUAAAUAUAUAAUGUUUUUUUUUGGACCGGGUACAAACCAACCCAGCUAUUCAGGUUGAGCUAGAACUAAACCGUCCAAGACGGGGGGUUAAAUAUUCCCCCUGUCCCUCCUUCCUGCAUGCAGAAUGAAUUCUGCAUGCGGGCGCGGCUUGAAGCCGAGGGAAAAUAGAAGGGGAGAAGAGAAAGUUGUGGGGGGGGGGGGGGGGAACCUGGUCGUAGCUAGCUGUCACGGUGAUGGUCAUGCCGUGGAAUAUGCCGAGCGGCUGGUGGUAGUUGCGGCGGAGCUGGCAGCGACAGGUGGUGGUUGUUGCCUUUCUCCUCCACUGUGCAAAGACACAGGGAUCUCUUUUUUUUCUUUCCCUCUUCUGCUUUUAUUUCUAUUAUUUCCACCCCCUCGUCUCUUUUCUAUUUCUUCCCUCCUGGUUCUUUUUUUUUCUUUCCUCUUCUCUUCCCCUCCUCUGUUCUCCCAUGUUUUUCUUCCAACUCUCAAAAUUCCCCCCUCCUGUUUUUUCGUCUCUGCCUCUGUCUCAUUUACCUCCCCAAAACCAUUCCUCCUCUAAAACUUCCCCCAGCUUCUGUUAUUUAUAAGUGCAGGGGAGAGGUAGCCACCCUAUCCUGUACAAGCGCAAGGUAAGGUGGCAUGGGGUGGGUUUUGUUUUGUUUUUUUUCCAAACAGUAUAUGAAACGGUGAUGAUGCGGCCAAAAUGAGCCAUUUUAUUUUAAAAAAUAACGCCAAAAUAUAUCAAUUAUAAAUCGAUCCUCAAUUUUUGAUUUGUUUAACUAAGUUUUCAAUUUCAAUUUUUAUUUUAAAAAUUAAUUCAAUUAUAUCCCUGUCAAAUUCUAAUUUCAUCCAUAAUGUUGGCCAAUGUUUUCAUUUUAGUCCUUGGUCAAAGAUUUAUGCAAUUUGACCCUCAAUUGAUCAACAAACUUUCAAUUUCUUCAAUUUAGCAUCUAAUUCGGACAAUUUCAAUUCCUCUAUUUAUGUGUCUUUUCUAGUUUGGUUCUUGGUUUUGGAUUUCUUCAAUUAAGUUCAUAAUUGGCCAUCAAACUUUAAUAUUUAUGCAAUUAAGCCCUUGAUUUGACCAAUUCAACUCUUGAAAAUUAUAUUUUGACCUCUGAACUUUAAUCUCUUCAAAUUAAAGCUCAAAUUCACUUAAAAAUUAAUUUUUCUUGCAAUCAAACCCUUUAUAAGUUCAAUUACACUUUCAGUUAAAUUUGCAAGUGCACAAAUCGUAACAAGUAAUAAAGUGAUGAGUAGAGUAUCGUCCCACGAGGAUUUGUAAAAAUUACUACUAAUUACCAAAGUCUUUUAAAUUAUGAUCUAUUUGAGGAAUCGAAUAAGAUAGUUUAUGAAACAAAAAUUAAUGAUUAAAAACAAACAACCAAUUGAUUAAAUAUUAAUGAAUUCAAUUGUACUGGUUCUAGGAUUUCUGACUUACCGUAACUAUGCCUACAUGAACUUUCUUGAUUAAAUUAAUUACUCCUAAUGUUGAUAAUCAGGUUUUCCUUAUGUAAAUAUUAAUCUCUCUCGAGCAUCAAUAAAUUAUUUCGACAAACAAAUUUCAUAUACUUUACAAAAUUUCUGAACUUGUCGAAAUUUAUUAAGUACUGUAAAACCUGUAACGAUUACAAAAGUUCUUAGGAUAUCUCUAUCCUAUAGAUUUCUUACGGUAUUUCAAACAAUAGCUAAAACAAUUAUCACUUCUCAGUUUCAAAUUGAAUUCUAAAUCAUGCAGAUGUUGGCCAAACACACGCAAGCAUUACACAUAGAAUGAAAUACUCAACAUCUUAAUGUAAUAAUUCAAUCGAAGAAAUUGUUCACAUAAUCAUAGUAAGGUUACAUCAAAAAUCCCAGAAUAAAAGUCUACUCCAUAGUUAAAUUAAAGAGAAACAAACUUGAUACGAUGAACAUCAAUCAAGAGCAGAGAAUUUCCGUCGAAAAGAUAGGUGUCCUCCCGGUUUUUAAUAGUUUUGCCUCUGCCCCUCUUUUGUUCCCCUUGGUGCCGCCUCCUCUCUUUUUCUUUUCUAUGUUGUAGGGUUUCUGUUCGUCCUCUCUCCUCCUUUUUCUUCUUUUAUAUUGUGGCUUUUCUACCCCUGCAGUAAUGAGGAAAGUUUCCUUUUCUGCAUUAAAUUCCUUCCUACUCAGACAUUGCGGGCCCGAUUUGAGGUAGAAAACGUGCGAAUUCAAAGAUCUCUAUUUCUGGAGAAAUUGUAGAGAAUCAAAUUUUCUUUCCAACGAAACUGAUCUUGCAAUUUUUGGACAUCUGAGGGUUGAGAUAAGGGCCAUAAACCGAAACAGUCUUUGCAGUGCAGGAAUUUCGGGCUGGUUCAAUCCUUGUUUUUCAACUCGCUUUUUGGGCUUCGAAACAACAAAACUGAGUUAUAUGCCCUUCAUAUGUUUUGUAGACCUUCAUCUCAGCUAUUUGAAAAUGGUUACGAACAUCCGAACUAAAUUGUAUAGCUUCUUUGCAGCACAUAAUGAAUCACUGUUCAGUUUCACUGCCGGCUCUGCCUGUUCAGUAACCUAAGAUCUGAAAACACAUUAAUUUCCCACGAGGUCAAUAGUUCAAAAAGAGAUUCAAAAUUCUAAUUGUCUUGUGCAACAUAUCCAAAAUAUUUAAAAAUCAAGCAUGAAUAGAAAAUAUACAUGCUAAAAAUUCCCUUAUCAAAUACCCCAAACUUGAAUGUUUGCUUGUCCUCAAGCAAAAAGGAAACCAUGAAAGCAGAGUGCUAAAAGCUCAUGAUAAGUUCAACUUUCACAUUUAAAAGGCUCCAUCAUGCAGCAUUCACUUCUUGACUUAGCUCAUAGACAAUAUUAGAUAAUGAAAAAUUAAACAUUCCUACUCUCUGUGCAGGUCGUUGUACAAACUUCCAACUCAUCCAUGUGUUUGAUGUGUUUAGCAUCCUUGAACCGUGCACAGUCAUUCCGUCAUUUUUUUUUUUGAACAAGGUAGCCAACUUUAGGAGUAAUAACACACUUUUACUUGUCUUUUGACAAGGGUGAUUUUUUUAAAUUUAUCACUUGUCUUUUGACGCGAAUACAAACAUUUGUGAUGAAUGCACCCGGUUACUUAACAGGUCAUAAACUUAAAAUGCUUUGCAUACUCAUAUUUUAAGUUGCCGUUUGACGUAAAAGUAAACAUUUGUGAUGAAUACUCCUAGUUACUAAGCAACUCAAAACAUUGGAGUAGAUACACAUCAUAUACUUAUUCAUUCACUUUCAUACUCAUUAUCACUCCUUGUUUUAAUAUUUUUCUUAGAGGUAAUAACAAGAAAGAACAACACACUUAUCUCUUAUGCAUAACUACACAAUUCACAUGACUGUGCUGGAAAAGUGUACUUCAAUAAUUCAAAAGAAAAUAGUCAUGCUUAAUCCAACUUUAUAAGAUAUCAUCCGCUCUAAGCCAAGAAAUAUCAUGGUUACAUCAUGAAGCACCUAAAAAUAUCAAAGUUGGUCUUAAAUGCAUAUCACUUUCACCCUCUGUUUUCAUGGUUCUAGUGUGCAGUGUCUUUCAUAGUCAAAGCAUGCAAUGUCUCCCCCAAACUUAAAUAUCACAUUGUCCUUAAUGGAAAAAUAAAGAAUAGAAAGGCUUACGAAUACUUCCUUUUGACUAUGUGGGUGUAAGUUUGUUGUUGCUCCUGGUUAUUUGCUUGUAUGAUCAAUUCCUGCACAAAUCAAUGAAACAAAUAAGGGUUUUUUUUUAAAAAAAAUUUCUUUUUCAUUUUUUUUCUUUUUUGGGUUGCCUCCCAAUCAGCGCUUAGUUAUAGUCAUUAGCUUUACUUUUCCAUUUAUCUAAGAUGAAGUGAGAGGGAUAUCAUCCCUUUUCCCAAUAGACUCUCCAUUCCUAUAAUGCUUCAGACGCUGCCCAUUCACUGUGAAUGUUCCCUUUUCAUCAUGGGUGACCUCUACUGCUCCAUAAGGAAAUACCUUCACAACCGUAAAUGGUCCUGACCAUCGUGAUUUGAGCUUACCAGGAAACAAGCGGAGCCGUGAAUUGAAGAGUAAUACUUGUUGACCAGGGACAAACUCCUUGCGUACAAUGUGUUUGUCAUGCCAUGCCUUGGUUCUUUCCUUGUAUAUCUUGGCAUUUUCAUAGGACUCAUUGCGAAAUUCAUCCAUCUCAUUAAGUUGCAGGAUUCUUUUCUCACCUGCAACCUGCAAAUCCAUGUUCAGUUGUUUCAUUGCCCAGUAUGCCUUAUGCUCUAAUUCAACAGGAAUAUGACAUGCUUUUCCAAAAACUAAUCGAUACGGAGACAUUCCCAAUGGUGUUUUGAAUGCUGUCCGAUAUGCCCACAAUGCAUCAUCUAGCUUUCUUGCCCAAUCUUUCCGAGAAUUACUUACUGUUUUCUCUAAGAUUUGCUUCACCUCUCUAUUUGAUACCUCUGUUUGGCCAUUUGUCUGAGGAUGAUAAGCCAAUGCUCUUUUGUGUCUGACUCCAUACUUAGAUAACAGUGCUUCAAACUGCUUGUUGCAAAAAUGAGUUCCUUCAUCACUGAUGAUGGCUCGAGGAGUACCAAAUCUGGUAAAGAUGUUCUUUCGUAGAAAAUUAAGUACCACCUUGCCAUCAUUUGUAGGCGUUGCAAUUGCCUCGAUCCACUUUGAUACAUAAUCCACUGCUAAGAGAAUGUAUUUGUUGUUAUAGGAUGAAGGAAAAGGUCCCAUGAAAUCGAUGCCCCAAACAUCAAAUAAUUCAACUUCUAGGAUAUUCUGCAGUGGCAUUUCAUUUCGUCGAGAUAUAUUCCCAGUAUGCUGACAUCUAUCACAAGCAGUAACAAAAGCAUGAGCAUCUUUAAACAUAGUGGGCCAAUAAAAACCUGACUGCAAAACUUUGGCUGUAGUGCGUUGUGUUCCAAAGUGCCCCCCAUAUUCAAGUGUGUGGCAAUGCUUCAAUAUAUUUGUCAUUUCCUCUUCUGGAACACACCUCCUGAUGACUUGAUCUGCACAAUGCCGAUAGAGUAUCGGCUCCUCCCAGAAGUAGUGUUUGACUUCAGAAAAAAAUUUCUUCUUUUGCUGGUAAGAAAAAUCUGGCGGUAUGAUCUUACCUGCAAGAAAGUUGACAUAAUCUGCAUACCAAGGAAAGAAUUUGUUAGUGGAAAUUGCUAAGAGUCUUUCAUCAGGAAAACAUUCAUUUAUAACCGUGAAUUUAGGCUCCAGCUGCUGUGUCAAUUCCAGCCUUGAAAGAUGAUCUGCCACCACGUUCUCAGUCCCCUUUUUAUCUUUAAUUUCUACAUCAAAUUCUUGCAGUAAUAGGAUCCAACGGAUGAGUCUAGGCUUGGCAUCUUUCUUAGACACUAGGUGUCUAAUUGCAGCAUGAUCAGUAUACACCAGUACUUUGUUUCCCAUCAGGUAAGGCCGAAACUUAUCAAAUGCAUAGACCACAACAAGCAACUCUUUCUCGGUUGUGGCAUAAUUGAGCUGGGCAUCGUUGAGUGUUCUGCUGGCAUAGUAUAUGGUGUGAAACACAUUAUUUUUCCGUUGCCCCAGUACUGCUCCAACUGCAUAAUCACUUGCAUCACACAUAAGCUCAAAUGGUUUCUCCCAAUCCGGUGCAAUUACAAUAGGAGCUGUCACUAACUUCUUUUUCAACAGCAUAAAGGUUGUCUUGCAUUCCUCAUCAAACUGAAACUUUGUGUCUUUUAGCAGCAGACUGCAUAGCGGUUUGGAUAUUUUAGAGAAGUCUUUGAUGAACCUCCUAUAAAAUCCCGCAUGACCAAGGAAACUCCUAACCCCUUUUACUGUAGUUGGCGGCAGAAGCUUGUCUAUUGCCUCAAUUUUAGCUCUGUCUACCUCUAUUCCUUUUUCUGAAAUCCGGUGCCCCAAUACUAUACCUUCCUUUACCAUGAAGUGACAUUUUUCCCAGUUCAAUAUCAAGUUUGUCUUUUCACAACGCUCCAAAACCAACGCCAACUUUGCAAGGCAGUCAUCAAAAGAAGUUCCAAAUACAGAAAAGUCAUCCAUGAAGAUCUCAAUGAUUUGCUCCACCAUAUCUGAAAAAAUAGCCAUCAUGCACCUCUGAAAGGUAGCUGGUGCAUUACACAACCCAAAAGGCAUUCUUCUGAAAGCAAAAGUACCAUAAGGGCAGGUGAAAGUGGUCUUCUCUGGUCCUCAGGUGCGAUGGCUAUUUGGUUGUAUCCUGAAUAGCCAUCUAGGAAACAGUAGUAUUCAUGCCCAGCUAACCUGUCCAGCAUCUGAUCAAUGAAUGGUAGGGGGAAGUGAUCUUUGCGAGUUGCCUUGUUGAGCUUUCGAUAAUCCAUGCAAAUCCUCCAUCCAGUUACCGGUCUAGUAGGUAUCAAGUUGUUGUUUGCAUCCUUUACCACUGUCAUUCCUCCUUUCUUUGGCACAACUUGAACUGGGCUCACCCAUGAGCUGUCAGAGAUUGGAUAAAUAACACCAGCAUCUAACCAUUUCAGAACUUCUUUUCGGACUACCUCUUUCAUGGUCGGGUUAAGCCUUCUCUGAUGUUCUACUGUUGGCUUGACUUCAUCUUCCAACAGAAUUUUAUGCAUGCAAAUAGAGGGACUGAUGCCUUUGAUAUCUGCUAAUACCCACCCGAGAGCUGCCUUAUGUUUUCUCAACACCCUCAACAAUUUUUCUUCCUCUGUUUUGGUCAGCUUUGCAGAGAUUAUCACAGGAUAGGUGGAAGCUUCUCCAAGAUAUGCAUACCGAAGGUGUUCUGGCAGAGGUUGCAAUUCCAGAACCGGUGCUUGUUCACUGGUUGAUUUUAUUUUUGGUGCUGGUUGUCCCAAAUCUUCAAAGUAUCUUUUGUGGUUAGGUUCAAAAGAGUCCAUCCAACAUGAAUAUUCUGCUAUUUCAGCAUCCUCUUCCAGUACAUUAUUUACCAAACAUGCUUCCAACGGGUCGGUUGGAAGCUUAACUUUGUUGUUAAUUAAGGAGUCCACCACUUGAAUGCUGAAGCAACUCUCCCCUAUAUCUGGUUGUUUGAUGGCUUUGAACACAUUGAAAAUCACCUCCUCUUCAUUCACCCUUAACCGCAGCUCCCCUUUCUUCACAUCAAUUAACGCACCUCUAGUGGCCAAGAAUGGCCGGCCAAGCAAGAUAGGAAUCUCAUUAUCCUUCUCCAUAUCCAGUAUGAUAAAGUAUGCUAGAAAGAUGAACUUGCCCACUUUCACCAGUACAUCUUCAAUUAUUCCCCUUGGAUGCUUCAAUGACCUGUCAGCUAGCUGUAGUGUUACUGUGGUUGGCCUUGUUUCACCUAAACCAAGCUUCUUAAAAAUAGAUAAAGGCAUGAGAUUAAUACUUGCACCUAAAUCACAUAAAGCUUUUUCAAAUAUAGAAUUUCCAAUGGAACAUGGUAUAGUAAAACUCCCUGGAUCCUUAAGUUUAGGAGGCAGUUUCUUCUGCAAAAUAGCACUGCAUUCCUCAGUAAGAGCGACAGUCUCAUAUUCCUCUAGCUUUCUUUUGUUUGAGAGGAUGUCCUUCAGAAAUUUCACAUAGCUUGGCAUUUGUUCAAGAGCAUCUGCAAAAGGAAUGUUAAUCUGCAAUUUUUUAAACACAUCAAGAAAUUUAGAAAAUUGCUUAUCAAGUUUAUUCUUCUUGAGACGUUGUGGAAAUGGAAUUCUAUGCAUUAUUUCUUGCAUUGGUUCUGGCAGAGGAUCAGAUUUUUUCAUAUUCUGAAUUGGUUCGGCCAUUUGCUCCUCUACUUCUUUUUUUGCACUCUUGUUUCCAGCAGUCUGCUCCACUUCUUUUCCACUUCUUAAAGUUAUGGCCUUGCAUUGCUCCUUAGGAUUAAUUUCAGUUGUGCUUGGUAGAUUUCCUUGUUGUCUACCCGUGAGCAUGUUGGCUAACUGACCAACCUGAACCUCCAAAUUUCGAAUUGAGGCUGCUUGGUUCUGCAGAUUGGUAUUUGUUUCAGUCAUGAAUCUGCUGGUGUUGUUUGCUAAUUGUGUCAUAGCUUCUUCAAGUUUUGAUUUCUCUUUCAUGUGCUCACUUGAAGAUGGCAUGGCUGGAUUCUUCAUGACAGUUUGAUUGUUCCACGAGAAAUUAGGAUGAUUUCUCCAACCGGGAUUAUAUGUUGCACUGUAGGGGUUGUUCUGCCGGCUGUAUUUGACACAAAAUGAGCAUGCUCUGCUUGAGAGAAUGGGUUCCCAACCUGACACUCUUCACUGUGUGAUUUCCAUGCAAAAAUCACACGUUGUAUGGAUGGCAUUUGCUGACAGUUGAGUGGUUUUCAGUUGCUGAGUUAGUGAAUGGACUUGAGCUGUUAAUGUCGUGAUUGCAUCAAUUUCGUGCACCCCAACAGUCUUUUCUGUAUGCUUCUUUCAUUUGGCCAUUGGUAAUUGUUCAUAGCCAUUUCUUCCAAUAAGUUGUAAGCAUCAUCCUGUGACUUACUCAUAAAAGCUCCUCCUGAAGCUGCAUCAAUUAGUGUUCUUGUGGAGGCAUUCAAUCCAUUGUAAAAAUUUGCACCUGCAUCCACUUCGGUAGUCCAUGGUGGGGGCAUCGCCUGAGCAAAUCCUUGUAUCUCUCCCAUGCCUCAUACAAUGGUUCACUCUCAAGUUGGGCGAAGUUAGCUAUCUCAAUGCAUUUUUGCUGUCUUGGCUGGUGGAAAAAAUUUAGCAAGGAAUUUCUGAGCUAAAUCUUCCCAGCUGAUAACUGAAUCUGCAGGCAUGGAGUUUAACCAGUUCUUCGCUCUAUCUCGCAAGAAAAUGGAAACAAUCUGAGGCGAAUGGCAUCAUCAGUAACGCCAUUAUGCUUAAAUGUGUCGCAAAUUUCCAAGAAACUUGCAAUAUGGGCGUUAGGAUCAUCACUUGGCAACCCAUAAAACUGAACUGAGGUCUGAAUCAUCUGCAGUAUUGCUGGUUUGAUCUCAAAAUUAUUGGCCUCAAUCCUUGGUUUCCUGAUAACAGAACGGAUUCCUGUCACCUGUGGGAGAGCAAAAUCUCUCAAUGCCCGUGUAUCUUGCUCAGGAUUUUCAUUGUCUGCCAUGAUGCUGAACUGUUUGAGUCUCUCGUGUUUUCUUUCUUAAUCCCCUUGCAGUUCUCUCAAUCUCAGGAUUAUAAGGUAGCAACGGCUGUUUUUGUUGCUUCUCAUGCACUAGACACACACCUAAAGAGCUGAAGACAAAAGGCAAUCAAAUUAGAUCAAAUUUAAUUUAUAUUGAUAUUAUUAGUAAUUUUAUCUAAAAUCCCCGGCAACGGCGCCAAAAACUUGUUGGUUAAUUUGCAAGUGCACAAAUCGUAACAAGUAAUAAAGUGAUGAGUAGAGUAUCGUCCCACGAGGAUUUGUAAAAAUUACUACUAAUUACCAAAGUCUUUUAAAUUAUGAUCUAUUUGAGGAAUCGAAUAAGAUAGUUUAUGAAACAAAAAUUAAUGAUUAAAACAAACAACCAAUUGAUUAAAUAUUAAUGAAUUCAAUUGUACUGGUUCUAGGAUUUCUGACUUACCGUAACUAUGCCUAUGUGAACUUUCUCGAUUAAAUUAAUUACUCCUAAUGUUGAUAAUCAGGUUUUCUUAUGUAAAUAUUAAUCUCUCUCGAGCAUCAAUAAAUUAUUUCGACAAACAAAUUUCAUAUACUCUACGAAAGUUCUGAACUUGUCGAAAUUUAUUAAGUACUGUAAAACCUGUAACGAUUACAAAAGUUCUUAGGAUAUCUCUAUCCUAUAGAUUUCUUAACGGUAUUUCAAACAAUAGCUAAAACAAUUAUCACUUCUCAGUUUCAAAUUGAAUUCUAAAUCAUGCAGAUGUUGGCCAAACACACGCAAGCAUUACACAUAGAAUGAAAUACUCAACAUCUUAAUGUAAUAAUUCAAUCGAAGAAAUUGUUCACAUAAUCAUAGUAAGGUUACAUCAAAAAUCCCAGAAUAAAAGUCUACUCCAUAGUUAAAUUAAAGAGAAACAAACUUGAUACGAUGAACAUCACUCAAAAGCAGAGAAUUUCCGUCGAAAAGAUAGGUGUCCUCCGGUUUUUCAAUAGUUUUGCCUCUGCCCCUCUUUUGUUCCCUUGGUGCCGCCUCUCCUCUUUUUCUUUUCUAUGUUGUAGGGUUUCUGUUCGUCCUCUCUCCCCUUUUUCUUCUUUUAUAUUGUGGCUUUUCUACCCCUGCAGUAAUGAGGAAAGUUUCCUUUCUGCAUUAAAUUCCUUCCUACUCAGACAUUGCGGGCCCGAUUUGAGGUAGAAAACGUGCGAAUUAAAGAUCUCUAUUUCUGGAGAAAUUGUAGAGAAUCAAAUUUUCUUUCCAACAAAACUGAUCUUGCAAUUUUUGGACGUCUGAGUUGAGAUAAGGGCCAUAAACCGAACAGUCUUUGCAGUGCAGGAAUUUCGGGCUGGUUCAAUCCUUGUUUUUCAACUCGCUUUUUGGGCUUCGAAACAACAAAACUGAGUUAUAUGCCCUUCAUAUGUUUUGUAGACCUUCAUCUCAGCUAUUUGAAAAUGGUUACGAACAUCCGAAACUAAAUUGUAUAGUUUCUUUGCAGCACAUAAUGAAUCACUGUUCAGUUUCACUGCCCGGCUCUGCCUGUUCAGUAACCUAAGAUCUGAAAACACAUUAAUUUCCCACGAGGUCAAUAGUUCAAAAAGAGAUUCAAAAUUCUAAUUGUCUUGUGCAACACAUCCAAAAUAUUUAAAAAUCAAGCAUGAAUAGCAUAAAUUAUACAUGCUAAAAAUUCCCUUAUCAUUUUUUAUUCCACAAAAUCAAAUCAAUUGUUCAGAACACAAUAAGUAUGAAGAAAAAGCAAAGUAGUUUACACAGCAAGUUGAAGGAUUUGACUAGUGACACUGAUUGUGGAUCCAAAGUUCAAAAUAAAACAAAUCCCGAUCCAGAGUUCGAGUAAACAGAUCACCAAGUUAAUAUGUCAAUCAAUGGCAGAUCCAAUGUAUGCGUGCGUCGUAGCAUUCCGAAGGAUUCAAAUUGUAAAUGAAGGCCUACAAUUUGUAUAUUUUUCAAUAGGUAACCAAACACUAGUAUGAAUGCGUUAAGAGAGUUGUUAGAAAAUCAAAUGCUCGAACAAAUGACUUUCCAAGUCUAUGAAGAAAAAAGCAAAGUAACUUACAGAAAAAGUUGGAGAAACACCCCGUUCCACAAGCUUGAAGAAAAACAUUAACAGACUAAUGAAAAUAAUUAUGGGGCCCAAGAUCAAAUCAAUUGCUCAAACAAUAAUCAUAAUUUAUUUUAAUUUUGUUAAAUUUUUAUGUUAAAAAAUUUAUGUUGAAAAAUAAUUUUUAAUAUUAAAAAUAAACGGGGUUUGUUUUUUAUUUAACUUUAAAUAUAUCAAUUAAUCAUGUUUUAGAUAAUGUUUUCAUCAAAUAAUUCAAUAUUACAAGAUUAAGCUUAGUUAAUCAUGUAAGAAACCCAUGCAUGCUUCCAAUCUAUAUAUAUAUAUAUAUAUAUAUAUAUUAUAGGAUGAUGUUACAAGUACUGAGGGAGUAUUGUUACAGCUGUUAUGGUCGCUGUUAGUGUAGAUUAAUUAUGGUAGCUGGCAGAUGCAUGGACACGUGUUAGAAAUCAUUUCACUCCGUUAACAAAAAUUAAGGAAGUGUUAGUGCAGAUUACUUAGGGUAGGCGAUAUUGAUAUUUCAAAAGAGAUAUUCUAAAUAUUUCACAAGAAAUAAAAGAGUAUAACUAAAAUUAGAUAAUGAAAUGAAUUAAAAAAAUGAAAGAAAUUUACCUCAUAAAACAAAAAAAGAGAAAUUUACAUGGGAGUGAGAGAGGUAUGCAAUAACAUAUCAAAAUGAAAAGAAGCUUUAUGUUAAUUAAUGAAAGACAAAAAAGAAUUUUUUUUUGAGUAAAUGAGCUGUACGUAUGUAUUAUAUAUUAUAUUAAAAUAUAAUUUAACAAUAACUUUUCACUUUUUUCACUUUUUCGUGUAUCAAACUCUCAUUAACCUAUUAUAUUAAUAUUAUAAUAUUAAAAAUAUAUUUUCAAAAACUUUAAGGGGCAAUUGCUCCUUUUGUACUUACGUGGCUCCACCACUGAGUGCGGAUUAUUUAGGGUAGGCGAUAUUGAUAUUUCAAAAGAGAUAUUCUAAAUAUUUCACAAGAAAUAAAAAUGAGUAGGUGCAGUAAGAAGAAAUUAUUGAUAAUACAAAUCAUUUUCUAAUCUCUUCUGCCAUGUAUUUCAUAAGAUCAAAUCAAUUGUUCAUAUACAGCACCUGACUUCCCAAGUCUAUGAAGAAAAGCAAAGCAGUAAACAAGAAGUUGAAAUUGAUAUCCUUUAAUCCAACACCACAAACCGAGCGAUCUGUGCCGUGAAGACUCUCACAUUCAAUGAAGCCCAAGUCUCCCUUGGAUAAUUCAGCACAGAAAAUUCAAUGAUACAGAUAAUUGUCACUGUCCGAUCAAAUGCAUGAAGAGGACAAAAUUGUCUAUAAGAGACAGCUUGCUUGCUUUUGUAUUUUGUCAAGUAGGAGCGUUAAUAUGAAGAUGAGGCAAAUGUGGAUGUGGAUGCUGCUCAUGGCACUGGCCUUCGUCAACGAGCGGUGCCAUUGUUGUCUAGAGGAAGAGAGAAUUAGUCUCUUAGAGAUAAAAGCUGGGUUCAGUCAUGCACGUGCAGCUGUGUCCUAUGAUCCGCUAGAAGGUUGGGAUAAAGAGCAUUUUAAUUGCUGUAACUGGCAUAGGGUUGUGUGUGACAACACCACAAACCGAGUGAUCGAACUACAUCUUUAUAGCGUAAAUUAUGUAGUUUCUCGACUCAAUGCAUUCGAAGACUUCGAUCUCAAUGCGUCUUUGUUUCUGCCUUUCAAAGAACUGGAGAUUCUCGACUUAGGCUUCAACCAAUUAGUUGGUGGCUUAAAGAACCAAGGUUCUAUGCUUUCAGUUUUUUCUUUUAGUUAACACAUAAAGUUAAUUAUAUUUCAAGUAACUUUACAUUGAAUCUUUAUGGAUAUAGGGAUGAUUCAUAUAUAUAUAUAUAUAUAUAUAUAUAUAUAUAUAUAUAUAUAUAUAUGUCUGUCAUGUUAAUUUCUUUGCUCUAACAAUCUUCUUUCAGGUUUUCAAGUGCUUGCUUCAGGGUUGAGGAAUUUGAAGAAACUUGAUCUGACAGGCAAUAGAUUUAACGAUAGCAUUUUAUCAUCUCUCAGUGGAUUUUCAACUCUCAAAUCUCUAGAUCUAUCAAGCAAUAGGUUCACAGGAUCAAUUGGUCUCAAUGGUAAAGUUGUAAAUCAUUCCUACCUCAGAUGACAUUACCUAGUAAGGUUUAAUAAUUACAUGUGUAUUAACUCUUAAGUUGUUUGGAUGAAACCUUAAAAAGGCUUUAUAUAAUUAAUUCUUUAACGAGUGAAAUAAUUUGAAACUUACAUAUACACGCUAUUAACUUUUGUUCAAUUUUUUUUUUAAUUUUUUUUAAUAAAUGAAGGUGAAUAAUUAAUUAAUUAAAUUUUAAUAUUAUAUUAAAAUUAUUUGAAUUUAAAAACUUAAGCUAUGUCUUGUAUAUUAACUCUAACAUUAUAAGUUUAUUUAAUUAUUGUAAAUCAUUAUUAUUGAUUGUUCUCUCUAUCACAGGUUUAAGGAAUUAUUUGAAUUUAAAAACUUAAGCUAUGUCUUGUAUAUUAACUCUAACAUUAUAAGUUUAUUUAAUUAUUGUAAAUCAUUAUUAUUGAUUGUUCUCUCUAUCACAGGUUUAAGGAAUUUAGAAAUCUUGAAUCUGGUAAACACUGACUUCAAGGAAAGCAUUUUGAUAGAGUCAUUGGGAGCGUUGCCAUCCCUCAAGACCUUAUAUGCCGGUGAUAGUAAUUUUAAACACUUUGGGAAAGGUUAGUGACAGUUUAAUUUGGUGCCUAAAACAAUAUGAUAUUUAUAAUUUAUUGAUGGAUUUAUCUGAUCUGUACCACAGGGUUGUGGAAUUCGUCUAGCCUUGAAAAAGUGUUCCUCAAUUAUUCUUCUCUCCCAGCAAACUUUUUUAGGAACAUUGGACCCUUGUCUACUCUUAAAGUACUAUCUUUGACCGGAGUUGACUUCAAUAGCACCCUAUUUGAUCAAGGUAAUUCUACAAAUGAACAAUUAUAAGAGUAUUGAAAUCCAAAUAACAGUUGUUCACUAGAAGUUUAUAGAAAAGUAUAAAAUCUAGAGUUUCUCAAUCUCUAAAUUUUCUCAGUUUUAAAUUUAGGGUAGUUGGCAGAUGCAUGAACACGUGUUAGAAGUUGUUAAGAGAUGGUUAGAGUUAGUUAACAAUAUAAUAAAUCGUGUAAUAUAUGUGGGGAAGUAUAUAUAUAAUGGUAGGAGGUUUACGCACGCAAGAAAUAAUAGAAUCAUUCCUCUGUUUUUCCUUCUGCUUAACAGAUGAUUAUAUUACAAUACACAAAAUGGAUACUUCCACUUUAUAUGUGAUACGUUAGAAUUCAUGAAUAUUUGGUUAUUAAAAUAUUAAUAUAAUGUCAAAAAAUUAACACACAAUUUAUAUAUUGAUAUAUGUGAUACUUCUUAAUUUCUUUGCUUUCGACAAAUUUCUUUCAGGUUUUCAAGUGCUAGCUUCAAGGUUGAGGAAUUUGGAGGAACUUGAUCUAAGUUACAAUCAAUUUAACGACAGUAUUUUAUCAUCUCUCAGUGUAUUUUCAACUCUCAAAUCUCUAGAUCUAUCAAGCAAUAGGUUCACAGGAUCAACUGGUCUUAAUGGUAAAGUUGUAAUCAUUCCUCCCUCGGAUGGCAUUCCUUAGUGAGGCUUAAUUUAUUCUUUAGUGAAUUUGUCUAAUAAAUAGAUGUGUAUUAACCAUUAACUUUUGUUCAAUUUUUAAAAUUUUAUUAAAGGAUCAACUAGUUAGAAUUUAUAUGUGAUAUGUUAGAAUUCAUGAAUAUUUGGUUAUUAAAAUAUUGAUAUAAUGUCAAAAAAUUAACACACAAUUUAUAUAUUGAUAUAUGUGAUACUUCUUAAUUUCUUUGCUUUCGAUAAAUUUCUUUCAGGUUUUCAAGUGCUAGCUUCAGGGUUGAGGAAUUUGGAGGAACUUGAUCUAAGUUACAAUCAAUUUAACGAUAGUAUUUUAUCAUCUCUCAGUGUAUUUUCAACUCUCAAAUCUCUAGAUCUAUCAGGCAAUAGGUUCACAGGAUCAACUGGUCUUAAUGGUAAAGUUGUAAAUCAUUCCUCCCUCGGAUGACAUUCCUUAGUGAGACUUAAUUUAUUCUUUAGUGAAUUUGUCUAAUAAAUAGAUGUGUAUUAACCAUUAACUUUUGUUCAAUUUUUAAAAUUUUAUUAAAGGAUCAACUAGUUAGAAUUUAUAUGUGAUAUGUUAGAAUUCAUGAAUAUUUGGUUAUUAAAAUAUUGAUAUAAUAUCAAAAAAUUAACACAUAAAUUUAUAUUUCAUUGAAUAUAUAUAUGUUAAUUUCUUUGCUUCCAACAAUUUUCUUUCAGGUUUUCAAGUGCUAGCUUCAGGGUUGAGGAAUUUGGAGAAACUUGGUCUGAAUUAUAAUAAAGAUUUGAACGACGGAAUUUUUUCAUCUCUCAGUGGUUUUUCAUCUCUCAAAUCUCUAGAUCUAUCAGGCAAUAGGUUCACAGGAUCAACUGGUCUCAAUGGUAAAGUUGUAAAUCAUUCCUACCUCAGAUGACAUUCCCUAGUAAGAUUUAAUAAUUACAUGUGUAUUAACCCUUAAGUUGUUUGGAUGAAACCUUAAAAAGGCUUUAUAUAAUUAAUUUUUUAACGAGUGAAAUAAUUUGAAACUUACAUAUACACGCUAUUAACUUUUUUUCAAUUUUUUAAUUUUUUUUUUAAGUAAAUGAAGGUGAACAUUUAAUUAAUAAAAUUUUAAUAUUAUAUUAAAAAUUAUUUUAAUUUAAAAAAUUAAGCUAUGUCUUGUAUAUUAACUCUAACAUUAUAAAUUAUUUAAUUAUUGUAAAUCAUUAUUAUUGAUUGUUCUCUCUAUCACAGGUUUAAGGAAUUUAGAAAUCUUGAAUCUGGCAUACACUGACUUCAACGAAAGCAUUUUGUUGGGAGCGUUGCCAUCCCUCAAGACCUUAUAUGCCAGUGGUAGUAAAUUUAAACACUUUGGGAAAGGUCAGUGAUAGUUUAAUUUGGUGCCUAAAACAAUAUGAUAUUUAUAAUAUAUUGAUGGAUUUAUUUGAUCUAUGCCACAGGGUUGUGGAAUUCGACUAGCCUUGAAGAAGUGUUACUCGAUGAUUCUUCUCUCCCAUCAAGCUUUCUUCAAAACAUUGGACCCUUGUCUACUCUUACAGUCUUAUCAUUGAUCGGAGUUGACUUUAAUAGCACCCUACCUGCGGAAGGUAAUUCAUUAGAUAUUUUUGUUAUAUCUAUGUUUUAUUAAACUAGAAAUUUACUUCUAAUGUUACGUAUAAAAAAGGACAAAAUCUAGAGUUUCUCAAUCUCUAAAAUUUCUCAGUCUUAAAUUUAGAGUAGCUGGCAGAUGCAUGGACACGUGUUAGAAGUUGUUAAGAGUCGGGUAGAGUUAGUUAACAAUAUAAUAAAUCAUGUAAUGCAUGUGAGGAAGAGUGUAUAUAAUGGUAGGAGGAUUAAGCACGCAAGAAAUAACAGAAUCAUUCCUCUGUUUUCCUUCUGCUUAAUAGAUGAUUAUAUUACAAUACACAAAAUAGAUACUUCCACUCUAUCCUUCUUGACCAAAAAUGCAUAAAAACCAUCCCUCAAGACACAAAAUGGAUACUAAUUUAAGUCAAUAUUGAAAGGAAUGGAUAAUGUGUACCACCACUAUUUUCAUCGUACCUUUUCUUCUUUCUUUUUCACAUGGACUUUCUUCAAUUCGAGAUAUUAUUGAUAUAUUACAUAAUUGAUAUAUUACAUAUGGAUAUAUUCUACAGGCUGGUGUGAGCUGAAGAAUCUUGAACAACUAUUUCUCUUACAAAACAAUCUAAAGGGCGUACUCCCUCCUUGUUUUGGAAAUCUAUCAUUUCUACAAUUCUUGGAUUUAUCUGACAAUCAAUUGGAGGGAAAUAUUGCCUCUAGUCACCUUUCCCAUCUUACGCAACUUGAAUACUUCUCAGUUUCAAAUAACUACUUUCAAGUUCCAAUAACAUUUGGUUCAUUUAUGAACCUCUCCAACCUCAAGUUCAUUGCAUGCGAUAACAAUGAGCUAAUACCUGUACCCAGUUUUCAGCCUUCAGCUCCCAAGUUCCAGCUUCUUUACUUCAGUGCUUCAAACUGUACUUCAAAACCACUCAAGGCUGGAUUUCCAAACUUCCUGCAUAGCCAACAUGAUUUGGUGUUUGUUGAUCUAUCCCACAACAAAUUCGUUGGAGAACCUUUCCCAUCUUGGCUGUUUGAGAAUAAUAGAAAGUUAAAUCGACUAUAUUUGAGAGACACCUCAUCUAUAGGUCCUUUGCAGCUGCCACAACAUCCAACACCCAACCUUCAGACAGUAGAUAUGUCUGGCAACAACAUACAUGGUCAAGUUGCAAGGAACAUAUGUUUGAUUUUUCCACGUUUGAAGAACUUCAUGAUGGCUAACAACAGCCUCACAGGUUGCAUUCCUCCUUGUUUUGGGAAUAUGAGCUCUCUCAAAUACUUGGAUCUUUCCAACAAUCAGAUGUCUUGUGAACUGCUUGAGCAUAAUUUUCCAACAGUAGGCUCCUCGUUGUCGUUUUUGAAGCUGUCCAACAACAACUUCAGUGGGCGAUUACCACCAUCUGUGUUCAACAUGACU